ACCCAACACAGGGGUUAUCUUAUAGUCACUAAAACCAGCAUCAAAAAAGAGUUUAGCCCAUUCUUUUUUGUUUCUUUCUUUACCACUAACCAACACCAUCAUCAACAUGUCAAAGAAAAGCUGAGUUUCAAUGGAGUCAUUAUUCUGUUUGUGGGUCUCCAUCACCAUAUCUAUAAUAAUCAGCUUUCCUCCUUUUCUGCCUUUAAUUGCUUCUUUACAUUUCUUCAAUAUCUUUAUGCAUUCUUCAUCACUCCAAUCAUGCAAAAUCCACUGUUUAUGAUCAAAAAUAAAAUUAAAAAAUUGUUAGCAGAAUAUCAGCGCAGCAUGCAGGAGAUUAGACAUUCAAAAGCAAGAAAACCUUUCAUUUAAUACCAAGUAAAAUAAAGAAAAGAUAGAAAAAAGAGAGAGCAUAAAUUUCAGUACAUGUCUUCAGUAAAAUUGCAUCAGCUGCAGGGGGUAUCUCCUCGAACAUGUUACCACCAACGAAUUUCAAGUUCUCACCAUCUUGAAGACCUGCAACGACAUGGGGGAGAUCGAAGACAAAGCAAUCCAAGUGAGGAAAUGCAUUAGCUAAAAUUNNNNNNNNNNNNNNNNNNNNNNNNNNNNNNNNNNNNNNNNNNNNNNNNNNNNNNNNNNNNNNNNNNNNNNNNNNNNNNNNNNNNNNNNNNNNNNNNNNNNNNNNNNNNNNNNNNNNCAGGAUCAAGCAUGGCUAGCAAGAACGGUGUCACACUCAAUGGAUUUUCUUUAACAAGAAGCUUCGAUGCAUUAGUAAGAACAUACCCUUUUAUUUCUCGGCCAUUUUCUUCUAUUUUUGCUACAGCAAAAAAGCCAGAAUGGACUAAAAUGCGCAUCAGGCGAGGAAUGCAAUGCGCUUUGGUUGGGUGUAUAGAUAGGGCAUUGAUUAGGUCAGAAAGAGUCAUGAGCUUGCCAUGCUUGUUAAUGGCGUCUGGUAUUCCUAAUUGAAUUGCACAUUUUAAGGACAUGGAAUUUAUGAAGUUGAAAAUAUGGUUCCAUAUAUGAGCUUGAGCUUCAAGCUGCUGAUCAGAAUCUAGGUUUAGAAUUUCUUCAGCCAAAUGAGCCAUUUUUAUGGGCUUGAGGCUAAUAGUAUUAGGAUAUGGUAGAAGUACAAAUAUGAUGAACAAUCAAUCAAAUACUUUUAAGUAUAUAUAGAGAGAGUGGUGGGGGAUUUCUUCCUUUCUUUCUUUAUUAUUUUGUUUUUCAAACGCUAAUUAUUUUAUUUUUCCCCCAUGCAUUAGUAUAUAUUUUAUUUUAUUUUUUCACAUUAUUCACAUUGAUGCAUGGUAGUUGCCACAAAUAUUCUGAAGUUAAUUAUUUUAUUUAAUUUUCCUUCUAUAUAUAUAUAAGCGUGUUCGGUAAAAUUAAUUGACCAGGAUCACAAAUUUUCUCUUGUUAUUUUAUUUCUCUCAUUUUUGUUGAUUUUAUUUCCAAAUAGAAAAAACAAAUCUCGAACCAACAAUUUUUGAGCCAAAAAUUUAGUAAUUAAUAUACGGAAACUUUAGUAACAUCAAAUAUUGUUGAUAGUAAGAGAAGAGUCCCAAUCACCUGGAUGUUCGCCACGUGUUUCAGGCUCAAUUGUGAUAUUGGCAAUGAUUAUAAAAAAGGGCCUACGUUCAUGUAUAAACCUUAAUCCUUUCGAAACAACUCAAGGACUCGUAUUUGAUAAGACAACAAAAUGAUAGCAUUUAGAGAUGAGUUUCAUGAAAAUUUCCACUCCAACAGUGAAAAGCAAUCAAGGGAUUGCAUUUGGACUUUGGAGAUAGGCUGCCUGAAAUUCCAAUCCUUUACCUAUCUUAAUAAAUUUGCCAAAUUUCUUAAAACAUGAUGCAGAAAUCUUUGGCAAUGAAUUUGACAAAGAUGCAAUUGACAUAAAUCAUUAAUUAAUUUACUCAAAUCACUCAUUAUCUUCUAUAUAUCAAUAUAUUCAUUAUUUCUUUUUUUUUUUUUUGAUAAUCAUUUAAUUAAUUGAAUUGUAUGGUUAUUUAAAAUAAAUUAAGGGCACUAUAAUUUCUAUAAUUUAAUAAUUUUACAAAUAAGAUGAUAAUUUAAUAAAGCAGCCUGCGAGAAAACAGUUUUUUAAAUAAUAUACUAAAUACAACUUAAUAAAUACAAUAUACAACGAUAAAAAAUUCAUAAGAAAAAUGGAUUUUUGAUAUAUAUUUAUGAAUUAUAAACAACCCGUGCAAAGCACAGAGCUUCGUUUAGUUGUAUUUAUAAAAAUUAAUAUCGAUAAAAAAUUUGAGACAAGCAAAUAAUCAAAUGAAAGGAUCUCUUUGGUUUAAAAAGGACAUAAAAUAACUUAAAGAUAGUUUGUUUUGUCUUAUUUCAUCAACCAAUAAUAAUUAACUAAAUAAUUAAUAAUAGCAUUGAUAUUUUAAAAUAAUAAAACUUUUUCAGUUCUCUUCUCUUCUGUUCUUUUCGCUUCUUGUGCAAUUAUGUCAAUUCUUGAUCUGUAAAUACUGUGUCUUUGUCAAUAACUUUGUCGAUUUCAGUUUAUUUUCCUUUUAUUAGGCAAACCAUCGAUUCACAACAACAGUGCCAAGGCGGAUUUACGGUCAUCCAACUAAUGUCGUAAUCGUCCUUUGGAUGGAGAUGCACAUUAAGAACUAACUUCCCUGAACAGUUAACUUGCAUUGUUGUUGGUCUUGGGGGGAAGCAUCUGUCUUUUCCAUAUUUACCUGUUAGCCGAAUCACUUUUCCUUCGUUACUUCCCAUUUGUUAGCGAAGUAUAGAAAAGCUGGUGUACACAUUAUUCCUCAAUUUCUCUGUUUGCUUUAUUUUGCAGAACAUCUAACACUUAAUUGUAGUUUAAUUUGAUUAAACUACAAUUGUUAACUUGAUUAAUCUGAUUAAUUGUCAACUGAUUAAUUUUCAUCAUAGCUACAGCAAUAGAUAUUUUUCAAUAAUUUUAUAUGCGUAUUCAAGAAUAUCAUUUCUAGAGUACCCUUUAACACUACCAAAUUUGAAAAAUAAAAAUAUGGACUCUGUCUGUAAGCAAUUCNNNNNNNNNNNNNNNNNNNNNNNNNNNNNNNNNNNNNNNNNNNNNNNNNNNNNNNNNNUUAGUAACAUGGCAUCAGCCGGAGGAAUCUCCUCAAACAUGCUGCCACCAACAAAUUUCAAGUUAUCACCAUCUUGAAGACCAGCAUGGGAGAUCAAAAACGACGCAAUCCAAGUGAGGGAAAGCAUCAGCUAAGCCUUUAGCCAUAGUUCCUGUUCCACCUCCAACAUCAGUCAACGACUUCAACCCAUCAAAAACUUCUUUGCAUUCUUUUAUCAUAAUACUCAUAACCAACCUGGCAUCACUUGCCAUAGCUUUGUUAAAAAGAUUGUUCAGAUUAGGAUUAUCUUCAGCAUAUUCCCACAAUGCCUUUCCAUGCGAUGUAUGAAAUGGUGUUUGGUCAGCAUUCAAGAGCCAAGUGCUCAAAUAAUGCCAUGGUCCUGUUAGAACAGGAUCAAGUGAGGCUAGCAAGAAUGGCGUCACACUCGAUGGAUUUUCAUUAACAAGAAGCUCAGUUGCUUUGGGUAGAACAUAGCCUUCCGAUUCUUGGCCAUUUUCUUCUAUUUUUGCUAUAGCAAAAAAACCAGAAUGAACUAAAAUACGCAUCAGGCGAGGAAAGCAAUGAGCUUUGGUUGGGUGUAUAGAUAGGGCAGUGAUUAGGUCUGAAAGANNNNNNNNNNNNNUGGGACCCACACAGUUUGAAAAGAAAAAAAAAUAAUAAAGAGGAAAAAAAAAGAACGUGCUGUUUGAAAAAGCAAAAGGUUGGUUGCCGACCUUUGAAUAGUUGGCAACCAACUAUGAAAUUAAUGGAGAGCCGUGUGUAACAAACACACGACUCUCACAUUCCCAUGUUUCUUAGUUUAGAUAUAUACCAACAACAAACGAGAGACAUUAGAGAGUUUUUAGUUUUAAAAAGGUUCUUAAAACUAAGGGUUUAGAAAAUAGUGAAGAUUAUUAGAGUGUUUUUGGAAAACACUUUGUGUGCCACUAUUUUUGUAUUACUUUCUUUGUGUACCUACUAUGUUUUUUAAUAGUGGAAGAGAUAUUCGGAGUUGGUCCCGUGGACGUAGCCCUAAACAGUUGAGGGUGAACCACGUAAAUUUCUGUGUGUCCCAUUUUAAUACUUCCGCUACUUAAUUAUUUUCGUAAUUUUAUUGCCGGUAUCCUAACAAGUGGUAUCAGAGCCUGGUUCAGCCUGUCAAAUAGCGGUACCAGAUCCGUGGAUAUAUUUUGAAAAUAAAUAUACCACGAAGACGAGAAAAUUACGACGAGUCCGUUGGUGCAGUCCGCUCGGAANNNNNNNNNNNNNNNNNNNNNNNNNNNNNNNNNNNNNNNNNNNNNNNNNNNNNNNNNNNNNNNNNNNNNNNNNNNNNNNNNNNUAAGCCCAACACUAUUCACGUAUAGUACUAUUUACGUGUACAGUAGUUACUAUUCGAGUAUACUGUUACUAUUCAUGGUCACUAUUCACGUAUACUACUAUUCACAUAUACGGUUUAUGUUGGUGAUGAUUUUCUGCGCAAGUCAAAAUGGACAAGCAAAAUGAUUAGAUCUCCUUAUGGUAACCAAAAUGCAUUUGCCCGUGUUUGGUUCAAGCAAACCGGAAGACAAGACUGAUGAAGAAUGAGCUUUCGAGCGUGAACAAGUUUGUAGUUAUAUUCGACAAUUUGUCGAUGAUAAUGUGUACAACCACAUUUGUAACGAGACUCACGCCAGAACAUUAUGGGACAAGCUUGAACAGCUAUAUGCCUUAAAAUCGGGCAACAACCAAUUAUUUUAUUUGACGAAGCUGAUGAAUUUCAAAUACCAAGAAGGUACUUCUGUAGCAGAUUACUUGAGUGAAAUGCAGGCAACUAUUCACCAGCUGUCAAAUAUGGGCAUAAAAUUUGAUGAUAAAAUCUUCGGCCUUAUGGUGCUUGGCUCCUUACUAGAGUCUUGGGAGACUCUGAAGAUAUCAAUAACAAACUCUACACCACAUAGUGGAGUUAGCUGGGAAUUUGUUAAAAAUGCUGUUCUCAAUGAAGAAAUGAGACGUAAAGCACACAUCUCAGUCAGACAUUUUUUUAGCAGAUGCUAAAAGAAAUAACCAGCCCAGAGGGAGGAGCCAAUCUAGAAGUUCAAAUACAAGAGAUAAGAGCAGGGGUAAAUCAAACAGAUUCGCCAAUACUGUGUGCCCUCAUUGUGGGAAGAAGGGCCACAUUAAAAGGUAUUGCCGGAAGUUCAAAAGUGAUCAGGAGAAGAUGAAGGGCAAAGCAAAGAAAGAAGAGAGCAGUGAUGAUGAAGCUAAUGUCAUUGCUGAGUUCCAACUGUUCAUAGAAGACACUAUCAAUCUUGCAACCCAAGAGACCAGUUGGGUAAUUGAUAGUGGGGCUACACUUCAUGCAACAUCCCGGAGAGAAAAUUUUUCAUCUUACACACUAGAAAAUCUAGGUGUGGUCAAGAAAGCAGACGGUAAACUAUUGAAAGUCGUCGGUAAGGGAGACAUUUGNNNNNNNNNNNNNNNNNNNNNNNNNNNNNNNNNNNNNNNNNNNNNNNNNNNNNNNNNNNNNNNNNNNNNNNNNNNNNNNNNNNNNNNNNNNNNNNNNNNNNNNNNNNNNNNNNNNNNNNNNNNNNNNNNNNNNNNNNNNNNNNNNNNNNNNNNNNNNNNNNNNNNNNNNNNNNNNNNNNNNNNNNNNNNNNNNNNNNNNNNNNNNNNNNNNNNNNNNNNNNNNNNNNNNNNNNNNNNNNNNNNNNNNNNNNNNNNNNNNNNNNNNNNNNNNNNNNNNNNNNNNNNNNNNNNNNNNNNNNNNNNNNNNNNNNNNNNNNNNNNNNNNNNNNNNNNNNNNNNNNNNNNNNNNNNNNNNNNNNNNNNNNNNNNNNNNNNNNNNNNNNNNNNNNNNNNNNNNNNNNNNNNCCUUCCAGAAUGAAGAAUGUGUUAGAUCUGGUACAUUCAGAUCUAUGUGGACCAUUGACGAUGUCAUAUAGUGGAAAUCGAUACUUCAUAAAAUUUAUCAAUGACCAUUCUAGGAAGACCUGGGUGUACACUUUGAAGUCUAAAGAUCAAGUUUUAGAUGUUUUUAAACAAUUUCUAAACUUGGUUGAGCGACAAACAGGCAAAAAGCUGAAGUGCAUUAGAACAGAUAAUGGUGGAUAAUACACUGGGCCAUUUGAUGCUUUCUGCAAAGAGCAUGGUAUUCGACAUCAAACAACACCUCCCAAGACGCCGCAACUGAACGGUUUGGNNNNNNNNNNNNNNNNNNNNNNNNNNNNNNNNNNNNNNNNNNNNNNNNNNNNNNNNNNNNNNNNNNNNNNNNNNNNNNNNNNNNNNNNNNNNNNNNNNNNNNNNNNNNNNNNNNNNNNNNNNNNNNNNNNNNNNNNNNNNNNNNNNNNNNNNNNNNNNNNNNNNNNNNNNNNNNNNNNNNNNNNNNNNNNNNNNNNNNNNNNNNNNNNNNNNNNNNNNNNNNNNNNNNNNNNNNNNNNNNNNNNNNNNNNNNNNNNNNNNNNNNNNNNNNNNNNNNNNNNNNNNNNNNNNNNNNNNNNNNNNNNNNNNNNNNNNNNNNNNNNNNNNNNNNNNNNNNNNNNNNNNNNNNNNNNNNNNNNNNNNNNNNNNNNNNNNNNNNNNNNNNNNNUGCCGAUAGAUCUGAAGAUGAUUCAACAGAUGUACAAAUAGUUCCUCGAGUAACAGAACAAAGACAAGUUGGAGAUGAAGAAACUAUUCCACAAGAACAAGAGCCAGAGUUAGAAAAUCCAAAAGUUCCUUAUCAGAAUGAACCAGAAGAAGAUUUUGAUGGUGUUCAUGUACCACCAGCACCAGAAGGUNNNNNNNNNNNNNNNNNNNNNNNNNNNNNNNNNNNNNNNNNNNNNNNNNNNNNNNNNNNNNNNNNNNNNGGAGAACCUGAAUGCUUUGAAGAAGCAAUGGAAAGUGAACACAAAAGGAACUGGAUUGAAGCCAUGCAAGAAGAAAUGAAAUCCUUGCAUGAGAAUAAAACAUUUGAGCUGGUAAAGUUGCCCAAAGGUAAGAAAGCUUUGAAGAACAAAUGGGUGUUCAGGAUCAAGCAGGAAGAACACAGCUCCCAACCACGAUUCAAAGCUAGAUUGGUUGUGAAAGGGUUCAAUCAAAGAAAGGGUGUUGAUUUUGAUGAAAUCUUUUCACCAGUUGUGAAAACGACAUCCAUUCGGACAGUGCUCGAAAUGGCCACCAGUUUUGAUAUGGAAAUCAAGCAAAUGGAUGUAAAGACUGUCUUCCUACAUGGAGAUUUGGAAGAAGAAAUAUACAUGGAGCAGCCAGAGGGUUUCAUAAAAAAGGGGAAAGAAGAUUNNNNNNNNNNAGAAAAGCUUGUAUGGUUUAAAACAGGCACCAAGACAGUGGUAUAAGAAGUUUGAAUCUGUUAUGGGGCAACAAGGUUACAAAAAGACCACUUCAGAUCACUGUGUCUUCGUAAAGAAAUUCUCUGAUGAUGACUACAUUAUUCUNNNNNNNNNNNNNNNNNNNNNNNNNNNNNNNNNNNNNNNNNNNNNNNNNNNNNNNNNNNNNNNNNNNNNNNNNNNNNNNNNNNNNNNNNNNNNNNNNNNNNNNNNNNNNNNNNNNNNNNNNNNNNNNNNNNNNNNNNNNNNNNNNNNNNNNNNNNNNNNNNNNNNNNNNNNNNNNNNNNNNNNNNNNNNNNNNNNNNNNNNNNNNNNNNNNNNNNNNNNNNNNNNNNNNNNNNNNNNNNNNNNNNNNNNNNNNNNNNNNNNNNNNNNNNNNNNNNNNNNNNNNNNNNNNNNNNNNNNNNNNNNNNNNNNNNNNNNNNNNNNNNNNNNNNNNNNNNNNNNNNNNNNNNNNNNNNNNNNNNNNNNNNNNNNNNNNNNNNNNNNNNNNNNNNNNNNNNNNNNNNNNNNNNNNNNNNNNNNNNNNNNNNNNNNNNNNNNNNNNNNNNNNNNNNNNNNNNNNNNNNNNNNNNNNNNNNNNNNNNNNNNNNNNNNNNNNNNNNNNNNNNNNNNNNNNNNNNNNNNNNNNNNNNNNNNNNNNNNNNNNNNNNNNNNNNNNNNNNNNNNNNNNNNNNNNNNNNNNNNNNNNNNNNNNNNNNNNNNNNNNNNNNNNNNNNNGUUGCUCUAUCAACAAGUGAAGCAGAAUUCAUAGCACUAACAGAAGCAUGCAAAGAGUUGCUGUGGAUGAAGAAGUUCUUGAAUGAACUCGGAAUUCAUCAAGAACGAUAUUUGAUAUUCUGCGGUAGCCAGAGUGCGAUUCAUCUUGGGAAGAAUUCCUCCUUUCAUUCAAGAUCAAAACACAUUGAUGUUAGAUAUGGAUCAGGGAUGUAUUAGAGAUGAAGCAGUUACAGCUUGAGAAGAUCCAUACAGAUCAAAAUGGAUCAGAUAUGUUAACGAAGAUUCUUCCAAAAGACAAGUUUGAAUAUUGUCGAUUAGCUGCAGGAAUGAUGGAGAGUAUGGCUAACGUCCCCACUUGAGCAUGCAGGGGGAGAUUUGUUGGUGGUGCUGUGCCCACUCAAGUGGGACCCACACAGUUUGAAAAGAAAAAAAAAUAAUAAAGAGAAAAAAAAAACGUGCUAUUUGAAAAAGCAAAAAGUUGGUUGCCAACUAUUCAAAGGUCGGCAACCAACUAUGAAAUAUGGAGAGCCGUGUGUAACAAACACAUGACUCUCUCAUUCCCUCUCCAAUAAAUAGGAGAAGAUGUUUCUCAGUUUAGAUAUAUACUAACAACAAGCGAGAGACAUUAGAGAGUUUUUAGUUUUAAGAGGGUUCUUAAAACUAAGGGUUUAGAAAAUAGUGAAGAUUAUUAGGGUGUUUUUGGAAAACACUUUGUGUGCCACUAUUUUUGUAUUACUCUUUUUGUGUACCUACUAUUUUUUUUAAUAGUGGAAGAGAUAUUCAGAGUUGGUCCCGUGGACGUAGCCCUAAACAGUUGAGGGUAAACCACGUAAAUUUUUGUGUGUCCCAUUUUAAUAUUUCUGCUGCUGAAUUAUUUUCGUAAUUUUAUUGCCGGUAUCCUAACAAAAGAGUCAUAGGCUUGCCAUGCUUGUUAAUGGCAUCUGGUAUUCCUAAUUGAACUGCACAUUUUAAGGACAUGGAAUUUAUGAAGUUGAAAAUAUGGUUCCAUAUAUGAGCUUGAGCUUCGAGUUGCUGAUUAGAAUCUUGGUUUAGAAUUCCGUCAGCCAUUUUUAUGGGUUUGUUAAUUGCAUUAGGAUAGAGAUAUAAAUUGAUGAGAUAUUGACAAUUAUAUUUAUUUAUUAUAUUUAUCGAGUGACUCGUGACGUCUGGUGUAUUGAAGGGUGUGCAACUCUUCUAAUCGGAUAAUAUUAUAUUUAUUUUCCUUUUUAUUAGGAAUUUUCUGUUUUUCUUUUUUCUGUCUCUGUUUCUUUCCCUCUAAUCAAAGUCCUAUCUUCUUGCACUCCACUAAACUAGGAGAUUUUUAUUUUUUUAUUUUUUAUAUUUAUAUUGAAUAAAAAACAGUAAUUGAAUCCAUCCCCGUAAGCAUAAGAGACAGACCAUGGGACAGGAUUAAUACCUCUUGAUACUAAAACAAAAACAAUAAAAAAAUAAUUGUGAUUUACUCUUUUUGAUAUUGUUUUUGAAAUUUUCUAAUUUAUUCUUUUUUUAAAUAUUAUUUCAUGCGUUGUUGUAUUUGGAAAAUAUUUACGAGGCUUGCUCAUGAAUAAUUAAUUGUCAUUUUAAAAAAAUUAUUUUGUUACUAUUUGUUAACGAAAAAGCAGUUAUAUCAACGUCAUAUUAGGUAGGCAAAUACCAUAUAAAUAAAUAUAUUUAUUAAAUUAACUUGGUGAAUAAGUAAUUGUCAUUUAAAAAUAUAUUUUUGUUACUAUUUUUUAACGAAAAUACAAUUAUAUCCACGUCAUAUUAGGGGUAACACAUUGAGCAGUACCAUACAAACAAAUACGUUUAUUAGAUUAGCUUUGUAUAUAAGUAGAUUGAUAUAUAAGUUCAAUUGUCAAUAUUUUUAUUCUCUUAAAUAAUUAAUUUUUAUUCUCACCAAAUUAAAUCCUUGAUUUUAUAACAAUUAAUUUUAAUUUUAAUUUGCAUUAUUUUAUUAUUUCUCUUUUGUGGGUUUUAUUGCUCCUAAUGGAUUUUUUAAUGAAUCGUACUGCGCCUGAAUGGGCUCUGAAUUAUUGUAACUGCUGCUAAAAAAAAUUAAUUAGUUAGAUGACAGUGAGUAGCAUCACAAAUGUACAUUACAAACUAUUUUAAGGAUGUUGUUAUUAUUAUGGCUUAUAGUAUUUUGAAAUGAUAGAGAUACAAAUAUGAUCAAACAUGUAUAUAUAGAGAGAUGAGAGCGUGGAGAUUUUUUUUAUGAUAAUAAAUUAUUAUGGCUUUUAGUAUUUGGUGAGGGAGAUUUUUUAAGGAGUCCCAUAUCUCAUUUAACCUUCAAUUGAUAAGCGUUAUUCACAAUAGCUUGAUUGUUUUUUUCUUGCCUAAUUACUUUUAGAAAACAUUGGCAAAUAAAACAAACAAUUCUUCAAAAUAGUGCAAAACAUUGCCUUUUAAAAAACUUUGGCACAUGAAGCAAUUCAUGACCUUCACUUGGGAUUAAGACGCUUUACGGACUGGGCAAUGAUCUCAUUGCCUGUGAGUAUACAACAAAAAUUUUUUGCUACUCUUAAAUUGCAGGUUGAAUGUGAUUACCUUACUGUGGUUAAGAUGGUUAAAAAAGAAGGGGACUGUGGUUAAGAUGGUUAGAAAAGAAGGGGAGGUGCCAGGGAGUUGCCAGGCCGUGGUGGCUAGUGUUCAUCGAUUGUUGGAAGGAGAGUGAGUUUGCCAAAUUUCCCACGUUUUUCGAGAAGUCAACUGUUGUGCUGACUGGUUGGCUGCUAAUGCUUCUCUGUCACAAGAUAGAACCCAUAUCUUGGAUUUAUGUCCUCCUGCUUUAUGUAAUUGGCUUUAUCAUGAUUCAAGAGGUGUUGCCUAUUGUAGGCGCACUCUGUAGUUUUGAUUUCUCCUUGUAUUACCAAAAAAAAAAAAAAAAAAAAAAUUUGCUAAUCUUAAAUUGCAUAUGAGCAAAACUUACUUUGCAGCCCCUUAUUGAAGGAAAUGGAAUGGAAGACGCUUUACUAGAGUAAUGAAAGACUUACCAAUUUAUGAGCAUGUCUAACAAGUUGAAAAUCGUUUUCAUUGAACAUUGUAGUUAAGGGUAUAAAUGAAUGGAGCUGAGCUUGACCUUGUGAGGCUCAAAGUUCGGCUUGAAACUCGACGGUCUGAAAAUUCUAAUUGAGCUCAAAUUCAACUUAAAGUUUGAAUUCAACUCGAAAAAUUUUAAAUUUGAGAUGGGCUCGAGGUUCAAAUAAGCCUAAAAUAAAUAUGGUACAUAUAUAUACAAAAGCUCGAUCAAGUUCGAUAAUCUUAAAUUGCAUAUGGGCAAAACUUACUUUGCAUGCUUUUUCGAACUUUUUUCCAGCCAAGUUCUAACCGUCUCGGUUCAUUUACACUUACUAAACAAUUACUGCAAAUAAAUUUAAAACUCAAGAUUCUAAAAAUUUUUACUUCUGCUUCAAAAGAAGUUAAGUUCGAGUGGAUCCAACUCCAUCAAUAAUUGUCUGUAUACAAAAAGGUUCAAUUUUUAGACAUGCAUUUGCAAUUUUGUAUUGUUUUUCUUGAAUUUGUAUUAACAUAUAAAUGUUUGGGUUUGCAGUUUCUUCCAACCAGGAAAUAAUUGUAAUUUGUUCAUGAAUUGGUAAACUUAUGAAAUUCCUUUUUUUUUAGAGGUUACUUUUGAAGUCCAGAGAAGUUCCAGAUCAGAAGCAAGAAAGGAGGAGAUGCGAAUAUGGGAAUUACAAGUGUGUGUUUAUAACUUUAUAUUAUCCCCUUGUCUUAAUUGUGUUGAAGCAGACAAUCCCCUGCCAUUCUUAAGCAUCUUUCUAACAGAGAAGCUUUCAUUCUGUCCCUUGUCCAUUCUUUCGCUGUACUUUUCUUAUUUUACAGCAACUGAGGAGAGGGAGUUGAGACUUGAGAGAUAGAUUGGAUAUGAUAAAGAUAAUAAAGUAUUUAGUUGAAGCAUUAUCCCCAUGUUAGGCUCUGGGUUUGGGUUACUUGUAAUUCCAAAAUGUGAAGGCUCUAAAGCGCAAUUGUUGGAAGUUGAACGAAAACCAGAGGAACUUGACAAAUAUAGUUGAACUUUUCUUUUUUAUCCUUUGUAAUUCUUUAAAUAUUAUCCCAAUUUGAAAGCUUAAUUUGCAAUUAAGAGCAAAUUUCACAGACUAAAAAUGUAAUUUUAUGUACUAAUUUAAUAUAAUCAGGCGAAAUUCGGAUACAUGCAUUAGUAUUUUCAAGUAAAUUUUAUUUGUAAAAUAAGGAGACGAAUUUUAUUUAUAAGAUCAAAUAAGUAGGCCCAAGCUAAGAAGAAAAAAUAAAUGCAGAAAGUAACGUUAAAAAGAUGAACUUUUGCUGAUCGUAAUGGCAAGGGAAAUGUUAUACUAAUGAAAUUUAUUUAUUUAUUUGUUUAUAAAAAAAUUGAAGAAAAAAAAUUAGGGGGGUAUGAUGGUCAUUUCUUUCCAUGUUGACUCACGACGGCGUUGUUCAUUUUCCGGGAAAGUUUCUAAACAAGCCUAUAUAUCGACCUGCCUUCCUUAGCAGUUAACAGCUUACUGAAUGCAUUUGCAUGAAAUUGAAAUGUUUUUCUCUCCCAAAAAACGAUAAACACCACAACAAAGCUUUUUCUCUCGUAUUCUUGGCUCCGUUAAUUUGAAUCUGCCGUGCGGUGCUUUAUAAGUUAACGAACUUAAAUUAUGAAUUUUUAAACAAAUCAUAAAAUUUAAUUAUUUAAUUCAUGUUUAGUUGGGUUAUUAGAAGAUAGGUAAUUAGACUGGGUUGAAAAUAGCUAAUAAUGCAUCGGGAGAGCUUGUUAGUAAUUUUAGGAUUGUUUCACUUACUUGAACAAUUAAAAUUGAUUAUCAAACUAAUAAAAUAAAUUGGAUAGAAUUAAGUGAAGUCAAAAUUCCUAAUAGUUUUUAAUCAUUGAUUUAUUUUCAUCAAAUAUUUUUGUUUGAUUUCUUACUCAUUGUUUUAUUUUAUUUUUCAAUCUAUUUUCCUUUUUAUCAUUUAAAUAAUAGUAGGUAACACAAUUUUCGUACUUGGUAUACAAUUUUCGUGGGACGAUAUUUUACUCAUUCUUUAUUACUUGUUUGUGAUUUCAUAUACUUGCGAAAAAGCCUGUCAACGCAUGGGUCCUGUGCGGCCCUAGUACACACCUAAUUAAAUUGGGUUAGAACCUCAAUUAUUAUUAUUAUUAUUUUUUUGUAAAUAAUAUAUGUGUGUAAUUUCACUUUUGUUUCAACGAGGCUCACUUUUGCUCAAGAUUGUGAUAAAUAUUGGGUGAAAAUGUUGCUAGAUUUGACAAGGAUUGCUCAAUAGAGGUUGCUAGUAUGACUUUUUCCUUUUUUAAAAUUUGGUAUUUUCAAACUCUUAUGUGGAUAUCAAUGUAUCCAAAAAGAAUAAAAUUUGGAAUAAUUUUUUUUUAUCCUAUUUGAAAAUGAAUUAAUUUUUAUCCGAAAAAUUGAUUUCUUCUGCUAAAAUCAUUUCUUAUUCCUAUAAAAAUACUCAAGUUAUGUCUUUUAUUAUUUUCUUUAUUACUGAAUUGGCAAAUUUGNNNNNNNNNNNNNNNNNNNNNNNNNNNNNNNNNNNNNNNNNNNNNNNNNNNNNNNNNNNNNNNNNNNNNNNNNNNNNNNNNNNNNNNNNNNNNNNNNNNNNNNNNNNNNNNGAGCGCGUUUAAGUUUUUGAUUUACUCAAAUUGAAUAUUGUGUACUCCUCUUUUUUUUUUUUUUUAAAUCGUCUGGUAUCUAGAGUUCGAAUCUUAGACAUUGCUUAUGAGAUCCAGCGCCUCAUCAUACUGGACCAAUUGGUGGUUGGUUUAUAUACUCCUCUUUUAAUGAAAGGAUUUCUAAUAUUAAUUUUUAAAAAAUUCAAAAACUUCGAUUUAAAUUUAAUUUUUAUUAUUAAAUUGAAAAAAUUACAUCAUUUAAUGUGAUAUACGUUUUAUUAUUUUCUUCUCUCUCUUUUCUAAACAAAAUCUUAAAGGAUUUUAAUCUUAUCCUUUUCAUUCGUGUGUGCAGUGUUCUUAGAAAAAUACUAUCUAAUAGCAUAAAAAUUCACUUGUAAUACGAUUUUGCUAAUAAAAUCUAAUGAAAUUUUCGUCUACAUAAUUAAAUUAUUAUAUAUUAUGCUCAAUAAAACAAUCCAUUUGUGUUUAAUUAGAUGUUCAAAUAAUGACAUUUAUAAAAUUUUGUAAUUUGUAAAUUUGAAAUUGUGAAUGUGAUGGCUACAAAAGUCUUACCUAAAAAAUAAAAUAAUUUUUUAAUAUAAAUAAUUAUUUCAUCUGUCUCUUCAAAACAAUUAUUUCAAACUGUAAUUAGUAAUAUUAAACAAUUAUUUUAAAACAUUCAUUGAGUAAAUACAGCAAGAGACAACCUCCUCAUUGAGUAAUAUUCACCAACUCGUUAAUAACAUUUAUAGUAAAGCCUCUAAAUAGAAUUCGACCCCUACUCUCACUUUUCACAAAUUGAAACAAACCCACAUAUUACUCUACCUAUUUCACAUAUAUGGUAGUAAUACAUAAUACUAAUUAAAGAUAAACUUCAAUUACAGACCUUAAACCCAACACAUGGGUUAUCUUAUAGUCACCAAAACCAGCAUCAAAAAAGAGUUUAGCCCAUUCUUUCUUGUUUCUUUCUUUACCACUAACCAACACCAUCAUCAACAUGUCAAAGAAAAGCUGAGUUUCAAUGGAGUCAUUAUUCUGUUUGUGGGUCUCCAUCACCAUAUCUAUAAUAAUCAGCUUUCCUCCUUUUCUGCCCUUAAUUGCUUCUUUACAUUUCUUCAAUAUCUUUAUGCAUUCUUCAUCACUCCAAUCAUGCAAAAUCCACUGCUUAUGAUCGAAAAUAAAAUUAAAAAAUUGUUAGCAGAAUAUCAGCGCAGCAUGCAGGAGGUUAGACAUUCAAAAGCAAGAUUACCUUUCAUCUAAUACCAAGUAAAAUAAGGAAAAGAUAGAAAAAAGAGAGAGCAUAAAUUUCAGUACAUGCCUUCAGUAAAAUUGCAUCAGCUGCAGGAGGAAUCUCCUCGAACAUGUUACCACCAACGAAUUUCAAGUUCUCACCAUCUUGAAGACCAGCAACGACAUGGGGGAGAUCGAAGACAAAGCAAACCAAGUGAGGAAAUGCAUUAGCUAAAAUUGUAGCCACAGUUCCUGUUCCACCUCCAACAUCAACCAAUGACUUCAAUCCAUCAAACACUCCUUUGCAUUCUUUUAUCAUAAUACUCAUAACCAACCUAGCAUCACUUGCCAUAGCUUCAUUAAAAAAAUUGUUGAGCUUAGGAUCUUGACCAGCAUACUCCCAAAAUGUCUUUCCAUGAAAUGUAUAAAAUGUCUGUGGAUCAUCAUUCAAGAACCAAGUGCUUAAAUAAUGCCAUGGUCCUGUUGAAACUGGAUCAAGCAUGGCUAGCAAGAACGGUGUCACACUCAAUGGAUUUUCUUUAACAAGAAGCUUCGAUGCAUUAGUAAGAACAUACCCUUUUAUUUCUCGGCCAUUUUCUUCUAUUUUUGCUACAGCAAAAAAGCCAGAAUGGACUAAAAUGCGCAUCAGGCGAGGAAUGCAAUGCGCUUUGGUUGGGUGUAUAGAUAGGGCAUUGAUUAGGUCAGAAAGAGUCAUGAGCUUGCCAUGCUUGUUAAUGGCGUCUGGUAUUCCUAAUUGAAUUGCACAUUUUAAGGACAUGGAAUUUAUGAAGUUGAAAAUAUGGUUCCAUAUAUGAGCUUGAGCUUCAAGUUGCUGAUCAGAAUCUAGGUUUAGAAUUUCUUCAGCUAAAUAAGCCAUUUUUAUGGGUUUGAGUCUAAUAGUAUUAGGAUAUGGUAGAAGAACAAAUAUGAUGAACAAUCAAUCAAAUACGCAUAAGUAUAUAUAGGGAGAGUGGUGGGAGAUUUCUUCCUUUCUUUUUUUUUUUCUUUUUUUUUCAAAUGCUAAUUUUUUUUUCCCUUGCAUUAGUAUAUAUUUUAUUUUAUUUUUUCACAUUAUUCAUAUUGAUGCAUGGUAGGUGCCACAAAUAUUCUGAAGUUAAUAUAAGAAUAAUAAUAUAUUAGAAAGUAGAAAAUAUCCUCGCACCGUUUUUACAAAAAAAAAAAUCAAUCCUCUUGCCCAUGUAUUUUUUCAUUAAUAGAAUUUCUGAUUUAAUGAUAAUCAUUUACCAAUAAAAUCUCUAAUUUAAUAACAAUCAUUUGUUAAAUUUAAACAUAUUUUACUAUUUAAGUUUUUUAAUAAAGAAAGAUUUUCGAAUUCACUUAUACAUUUUACUGAAUUCAAAAUUCAGUAUAUAUAAAUAUAUAUUACAAUUAAAUAAUUAAAUGUUACAAAUGUAUAAAUCAUCACAUUUGUAACCUUUCAAUCUCAGGACAUUAUCCUCAUUGUUUGUACUAAAUUAAAUCGGUAUUUUUUUUCUGAAAUUUCAAAUAUUAUUAAUGAAAGAGUUGGAAAAAAUUAACAUUAAAAUCUAUGCUAAUUGAUAUUUGAAAAAAAUAAUUAACAAUUUAUUAUUAUUUAUUUUGUUUUGAUUGAUAAGAGAUUCAUGUUCUCAAUUAUAUCAUAAUCACGAUCCAGCUUGAAAGGGAUUAAUUUCUCAUUUAACCGUUAAACGGGAUGUGAGACGACACCCUUGAUAAAAACUAAUAAAAAAUUGAUUUGGUUUAUGAUACGAUAAUUAUAUAUAUUUAUUUAUCUGGCGUAUGGCUUCAUCCAGAUAUUGAAUUAAUUCAAUAAAGGAAAACACUUAUCUAGAUUCAGUAUAUGAACUCACUUAUACAUUAGAUCAAUUACAAAUAAUGUUAUAGUUUAAAUGAUAGUAUUUUUAAUCAUACAUUAAGAAAAAAAAAGAUAAAAAUAGUAAUAUUUUUUUAAUUGACUUAGUGUAUGGCAACCAUUUGGCAGUAUAUGGACCACCUACAUAUAGAAUUGUCAAAUUUUCAAUCCCAACCAAACAAUAAACAGAAAUUCAUUUCCUUUAUUUUCCCACCUCCUAUAACUAUAAAAAGAAAAAAAAAAUACAAUCCAACAUCUAAACACACAGCAAGAUUCAAUCUUAAUGCCAACAAUUUCAUCCAAUGGCAACACAAUUUCUAAUAUCAAAACUAGCAAAACCCAUCCACAACCACAACUAAAAUAUAAAAAAAUCAAGAGCUCUUGAUUUCGAUGUCCAUUAAACUCACAUACAAGAAGAGACGAAGAGUUUUAACUAUGAUUAAACCCCGAGCCAAAUUAUGUGGUCCUUGAUAAUAGAGUCCGGAUAUCGAUGGUUUAAAAAAUAUAUAUCCAACAAUAAAACUCCAAAUUUUCCUAAUAAACCCAUGAAAACAAAAAACAAUAUAGCAAAACAACAUUUUCUGAAAAAAAAAAAAAAAAAAAAAAAAUUCUGAUGGAUUUGCACUAGAAGUGGACAAGAAUCACAAAUUAAUGGAUCCCAAUUUUGUAAAAUCCAAUAAAAAUAUCCAAUUAAUAACUCAAUAUCUUCUACUUCUCGUAUAAAUGAAAAGACCAGUCAAAACUACUACCGACGGAUUCCUUUAGGCCUUUAACUUAUCGGGACCGGCAUGGCAUAUGGUGCCUUUUGUCUCCAGCCAUUGUGAAAGUUACAACGCUUAAUCGUCUUAUCACGCUUUGCAAGUAGUUGACAAUGUCAUGAACCCACGCACGCAAGAGUACUCAGUUAAUGUUACAAUUAAAAAUAUUUGUUAUAUGUAACCAAAAAAAUAUAUUUGUUUAGAAAAUCUCCCUUCCCGAUAUAUAUAUAUAUAUAUAUAUANNNNNNNNNNNNNNNNNNNNNNNNNNNNNNNNNNNNUAUAUAUAUAUAUAUAUAUAUAAUCUUCAAGCAAAAAAUAAAUUAACACAGCUCCUUCCAUUCAACAUUCCUAUUUAUCUUUUUUUUAUAGAGUUUUCUUUUCAUUUUAUUUUAAUUUGAUUGAAUUUUAAUAUUUUCUAAGAUCACUUUAUCCAUUUAGAAUUAUUAUCUACACUAACAAAUUAUGAUUUGAUUAGAUUUUAAUAUUAAUCUAAGAUCACUCUGUCCAUAUGGAAUUAUUAUUUACACUAAUAAAUUAUUUGAAUUAUAAAGUUUAACUAAAACUUAGCUAUCAGAUUUAACUCCUACUAUCUAUAAAUAAUAAAAUUAACUCAGCAUAAAAAUGUUCAUGGCGAUGGAUUGAAUUGCUAAUGAUCUAUAUAUCUCUCUGUGUUCCUCAAUCUUCUACUUACAAGUGAAUAAAAAUCUUUUCUUUGGUGACCAAUUAUUUAGAUAUAUAUAAAAUGCAUGUAGCUUUUUAAAAAUCUUUUUUUUCUUUUAAUUUGGUUGAGUGAUGGUGAAUAUGCUAUUUGGAUUGAAAUAAUUUUGUAUUUGUCUCUUGCUAACUGAUUCCAUGUAUAUAAUGAAAUCAAGUAAUUAAUUACUAAACAUUCCCAAAUUGUUGACUAUUCUACUAAUUAAUGAAUUGAUUAUUUCAGUUUCAAGACUCUUUAAAGGAACAAAAGCAUAUAUAGAAAGCAAAAAAAAAAAAAAAAGCUAGCUUAUAUAUAUAUAUAGAGCUUUCUCCUAUCACAAUAAUCUAGUAAAAUUAUUAUUAUUAUUAUUAUUUUGAAUGCCUAAACAUUUAAUUGAAUUGUAUAGUUAUUUAAAAUAAAUUAAUGGUGCUACAAAUUUUAUAAUUUAUUUGUAUGGGAAAACAGAUUUUUAAAUAAUAUACUAAAUACAACUUAAUAAAUACAAUAUACAAAGAUAAAAAAUUUAUAAGAAAAAUAGAUUUUUGAUAUAUACUUAUGAAUUAUAAACAAACCGCACACAGCGCGGAGCUUCGUCUAGUUGUAUUAUAAAAAUUGAUAUCGAUAAAAAAAUUGAGACAAGCAAAUAAUCAAAUGAAAGGACCUCUUUAGUUUAAAAAGGACAUAAAAUAACUUAAAAAUUGUUUAUUUUGUCUUAUUUACCAGUUUAUUUAGAUCUCCAGCUUAUUUCAUCAACCAAUAAUAACUAACUAAAUAAUUAAUAAUAGCAUUGAUAUUUUAAAAUAAUAAAACCUUUUCAGUAAUUCUUUUUUAAUUUAAUAUCUAAAAAGUUUUUCAGUUUUUUUCAAUAAUUUAAUAAAUAAUUAAUAAUAUCAUUAAUAUUUCUCCAAAUAACAAAAAUAUUUUUCAUUAAAUGAUUUUUCUUCUACAAUUCAAAUAUCAAAAUCUAAAAAUACUUUUCAAAUAAGUUAUUUCUAAAAAUAAAAGAAGCUUAAAAGAAGAAGUUUUUCAGUUUGUCAAGUGGAGUCCUUGUAGAGCGCAGUCGGUGAACGACAGGUUGGCUAUAUGUCACAGAUUUCAAUUUCAUGACACGCAUCACUAUAACGAGAUUUCAUAAAAAAAAAAAAAACAAACGAUGUCGUUUUUUGUAGAGCGCGGUCAGCUGACAAAGCAUAUUGUAAUGAUGACACGUGGUUAAAUCGCGCCGUCUGAAAAACCUUCUGUGUCGAGAGGGCGCGAUUGUAUGGUGGUUCUCUACUUGUCUUCUAGUUCAUCUUUUAUUUCUUUCAGUAACAACGUCGAACAGCUUAUGUGCGCUGCAACCAAACAAGUGAAGUGGUCGAAAACUUAUAAAGAAGUAAUAUGAUUUUACCAGUGGUAAAGCUAGGAACGCUUGCUCUCAAAACGGUUUGCAAACCCAUAGCCAAUAGGCUCAAGAAGGAAGCAGGGCUGCACCCCAGGUUCCGUCAGUUCAUAAUCAGCAUUGCACAGGUUCUCUUCUCUUCUAUUCGUUUCCCUUCUUGUGCAAUUAUGUCAAUUCUUGAUCUGUAAAUAUUCUGUCUUUAUCUAUAACUUUGUCGAUUUCAGUUUAUUUUCCUUUUAUUAGGCAAACCAUCGAUUCACAACAACAGUGCAAAGGCGGAUUUACGGUCAUGCAACUAAUGUUGCAAUACGUCCUUUGGAUGAGGAGAAGGCUGUCCAAGCUGCAGCUGAUCUUAUUGGGGAACUCUUUGUUUUUACGGUAUUUCUCUCUUCCGGUUCCUGUUACUGGUCUAAAAUUAUAUAAAAAAGAUUGGAUUUUUAGGCAUACAUUUGCAAUUUUGCAUUGCUGUUCUUGAAUGUGAAUCAACAUCUAAAUGUUUAUGUUUGCUGGUAUAUAAAUUUCACACAUUGUUUUUUCCAAGCAGGAAUAAUUCUAAAAUGGUUUUGCAUGAAUUGGGUAAACUGAUGAAAUUCCCAUUUCUUUCAGGUUGCUGCAGCUGCUGUCACUUUUGAAGUCCAAAGGAGUUCCAGAUCAGAAGCAAGAAAGGAGGAGAUGCGAAUACGGGAAUUACAAGUAUGUGUUCUUAACUUUAUAUCAUCCCUUGACCCAUUGUGUUGCCCUGACAUUAUAUUUUGAUUGACAUUUUUAUGCACCUUUCUAAUAGAGAUGCUUUUUUUCUGCCCAUUAUCCAUGUUUCGUUGUAUUUUUUCUUUAUUGCAAUUGAGGAAGAAAGGGAGUUGACAGAUGGAUGGAAUAUGAUAAAGAUGAUAAGGUAUUUAAUUCAAGCAUUACCCACUUUGGUCUCAAAAAAGUAUAUAAUCUGUGUAGGCUGUAGGCAUGGGUUACCUGGAAUUCCAAAAUGUAAAAUUCCUAAGUUGACAGAUGGAAGGAAUGUGAUAAAGAUGAUAAGGUAUUUAAUUCAAGCAUUAUCCACUUGGUCUCAAAAAAUUAUAUAAUCUGUGUAGGCUGCUGGCAUGGGUUGCAUGGAAUUCUCAAAUGUAAAAUUUCUAAUCAUGGAAAAUCAAGUUGAUGCAUUGUCUAUUUAUUUAUUGAAUAUGCCAUUUCCUCACAUGGAAUGGAUCCAUCAGAAAGUGGUGCAAUUUACUCUACUUGUGUCUAUCUAAAUUAUCUUAUCAAAUGUUAACUUCAAAUGUGUAAUAGUGGUUUGGGUACCAUCAACUAGGAAUUAUAAGUGCUUGUCAAACCUUUAUCACUUUGGUUUAUGCUUCUGUUUGAGCUGUGGAGAAUUUUAGUUUAUGACCUACCGGUGCUCUUGCCCUUUCUAUAUGUGUUUUGGUUAUGUUAUCAGCUGUUAAAAACAAAUAUCUUCACUCAUUAGUCAGGGAUUCAGAUGUUUUGGUUGCAAUUAAUAUUUGGAAAUAUACACUUAAUGCUCUAGUCUGUUCUUAAGCAAAAUGUACUGCUGUUGCAGGAGAUGAAACAAAGAGAUGAAGAAUUAGCGAAGGAAGUUGAACUUCUUAAACGCAAACUCGAAGACCUGGAAAAACUUGUCAAAGGACGAGGACUCGCUGGCCUUUUCAACUCCAGGCAUGCCCAUGUAUUCCAAGAUGGAAAAACAAAUUCAACAUGAUAACUGUGGGAAUCAAGAAUCAGGAUGCAGUAUGGAGAUGCACAGUAAGUACUAACUUCACUGAACAGUUAACUUGCAUUGUUGUUGGUCUUGGGGGGAAGCAUCUGUCUUUUCCAUAUUUACUUAUUAGCCGAAUCACUUUUCUUUCGUUACUUCCCAUUUGUAAGCGAAGUAUAGAAAAAAGCUGGUGUACACAUUGUUCCUCAAUUUCCUUAUUUUGCACAACAUCUAACACUUAAUUGUAGUUUAAUUUGAUUAGACUACAAUUGUUAACUUGAUUAAUCUGAUUAAUUGUCAACUGAUUAAUCUUCAUCAUAGCUACAGCAAUAGAUAUUUUUCAAUAAUUUUAUAUGCGUAUUCAAGAAUAUCAUUUCUAGAGUACCCUUUAACACUACCAAAUUUGAAAAAUAAAAAUAUGGACUCUGUCUGUAAGCAAUUCGCAUAUCCAUGGUAUAAUAAUUGGCAUAUCCAAGGUACGCUAACUGAGUUCUUUCAUUCCCGAAGCUGCCGAUCGCAUCCAGCGGGACUUUAUUCGGAUGCUAGGAUUGACAAUGAAAAAUAUAUAUAGAAAAUAAAUAUAGGGCAUUGAUCGACAAAAUUAAAAGUAUUUGCCAAAUUUCAAAAAAAAAGAAAAAAAAGAAAAUCAAAGAUUCGGGCUUUGUUUGGUGAUUAAGCCUCUAUCAUAAUCUAGUAGUAUGCUCUCAAAAACAUNNNNNNNNNNNNNNNNNNNNNNNNNNNNNNNNNNNNNNNNNNNNNNNNNNNNNNNNNNNNNNNNNNNNNNNNNNNNNNNNNNNNNNNNNNNNNNNNNNNNNNNNNNNNNNNNNNNNNNNNNNNNNNNNNNNNNNNNNNNNNNNNNNNNNNNNNNNNNNNNNNNNNNNNNNNNNNNNNNNNNNNNNNNNNNNNNNNNNNNNNNNNNNNNNNNNNAAAAACCGGCGGCGGUGAUAAUGGCGGCAACACCACCGGAAGUAGAAGAAGAGUUAGAGCCAGUAGAACCAUAAUAAUAAUCGACUUCAACAUCAAAUGGUUUCACAUAAAUAACCGGCCACCAUAAACUUGCAUCCUUAAAAACCCUUUUAACCGUUGGAUGAUGAUCAUGAUAACCAAAAGGCAAUUUUUUGAUGAUGAUCAUAAGGGAAGUUAGUAUUAUCCAUUUUUGUUGCAGCGGAGCAUUACUGUUCUUUGGUGUUGGAAAAUAUGGAGUUGAAAGAAGAAGAAGAAGAAGACAAGUGGGUUUGUGUCUUGUAUUUGAAAAAGUAGAUAUGAAAAAGUAGACAAGUGGGUUUGGUGUUGGUGUUGGAAAAUACUGAUUUAAUUCAUGUUUUUGUGUUAUUAGAAGAUAGGUAAUUAGACCGGGUUAAAAUAACUAACAAUGCAUCGGGAGAACAUGUUAGUAAUUUUAGAGUUGUUUCUUCUACUUCAACAAUUAACAUUGAUUAACGAACUAAUAAAAUAAAUUGGAUAGAAUUAAGUGAAGUCCUUAGUAGUUUUAAAUCCUUGAUUUUUUUAAUCAAUAAUUGCCUUUUUUUUUAUUUCUUUUUAUUAUCUUUAUUUGUCGAAUUUAGUUUUUUAAAAUAAUUUCCCUAGAUUGCCGUUUAAAUAAUAAUAGGUUAAUAUAAUUUUGGUACUUGAUAUACAAUCCCUGUGGAUACAAUUCUCUUCUCAUUCUAUAUUACUUGUUGCGAUUUCGUACACUUGCGAAAAUCACACUGUGAGCAAGCAUUUUAUAAAUUAACUAUUGUGGAAAUGGAUAGUGUCAGAGACGUGAGUUUGGAUCAUAUUGUGAGUUUUGGCUCAAUCAAACCAAAUAUUUAUUAAAGCAAAUAAUAGAAAUCUCUUGUGCUAGAGAUUUUACAAUCACAAGUAACCAAACCAAAAGAACACAGAAGAGAAUUACUCUCCUUCGUCAAACUUAAUUAUAACCUAUAGCUAUUAACCUUGCUCAAACUUCAGCCUGUCCAUCUCUCAACAGUAGUGGAGCUUUUUACUUAAUCAUAUAUUAAUUAAGGAUAACCUUCAAUUACAGAUCUUAAACCCAAAUUAUGGGUUAUCUUAUAAUCACUAAAACAAGCAUCAGAAAACAGUUUAGCCCAUUCUUCCUUGUUUCUUUCUUUACCAUUGAGCAACAACAUCAUCACCAUAUCAAAGAAAAGUUGUGUUUCGAUUGAGUCAUUAUUCUGUUUUUGGGUUCCCAUCACCAUAUCUACAAUAAUCAGCUUUCCUCCUUUUCUGCCCUUAAUUGCUUCUUUACAUUUCUUCAAUAUCUUUAUACAUUCUUCAUCACUCCAAUCGUGCAAAAUCCACUUCUUAUAACCAACAAUAAGAAUCAAAAAUUGUUAACAGAUACAAAAAGAGGAACAAAAAAAAAAAAAAAUGGCAUCAGCCUAAUCUGAACAAUCUUUUUAACAAAGCUAUGGCAAGUGAUGCCAGGUUGGUUAUGAGUAUUAUGAUAAAAGAAUGCAAAGAAGUUUUUGAUGGGUUGAAGUCAUUGACUGAUGUUGGAGGUGGAACAGGAACUAUGGCUAAAGGCUUAGCUGAUGCUUUCCCUAUAAAAUUUGAUUGAAUUCAUCUCAUUGAAGAAGAAGAUAACAGAUACAAGUGCAGAAGAUUACAGAUUUCAGAUACAAGAGAGGAAAAACAGAGGAAGGUUUUCAACUCACUCAAGAAGAAAAGAAAAAUCACACACAGAAAACUUGUUACCCAAGAUGCUCUAUACAGUUACAACUAAAAACGUCUCUCUCUUGAUUUUUCUGUAACCAACCUGUAACCUCCCACUGUUGUUGUUAUAAUUGCCAUGGUCCUGUUAGAACAGGAUCAAGUGAAGCUAGCAAGAAUGGCGUCACACUCGAUGGAUUUUCAUUAACAAGAAGCUCAGUUGCUUUGGGUAGAACAUACCCUUUGAUUCUUGGCCAUUUUCUUCUAUUUUUGCUAUAGCAAAAAAACCAGAAUGAACUAAAAUACGCAUCAGGCGAGGAAAGCAAUGAGCUUUGGUUGGGUGUAUAGAUAGGGCAAUGAUUAGGUCUGAAAGAGUCAUAGGCUUGCCAUGCUUGUUAAUGGCAUCUGGUAUUCCUAAUUGAACUGCACAUUUUAAAGACAUGGAAUUUAUGAAGUUGAAAAUAUGGUUCCAUAUAUGAGCUUGAGCUUCGAGUUGCUGAUCAGAAUCUUGGUUUAGAAUUCCAUCAGCCAUUUUUAUGGGUUUGUUAAUUGUAUUAGGAUAUGGUACGUAGAGAUAUAAAUAUGAAUCGUAAUGCCUCUUGAUGGGCUCUGAAUUAUUGAUUUUAUAACAAUUAAUUUUAAUUUGUAUUAUUUCUCUUUAGUGGGUUGAUUGCUCCUAAUGGAUUUUGUAAUGAAUCGUACUGCCCCUUGAUGGGCUCUGAAUUAUUGUAACUGCUGUUAAAAAAAAAUUAAUUAGUUAGAUGACAGUGAGUAGCAUCACAAAUGUACAUUACAAAUCAUUUUAAGGGUUUUGUUAUUAUUAUGGCUUAUAGUAUUUUGAUAUUAUAGAGAUACAAAUAUGAUCAAACAUGUAUAUAUUGAGAGAUGAGAGUGUGGAGAUUUUUUUUAUGAUAAUAAAUUAUUAUGGCUUAUAGUAUUUGGUGAGAGAGAUUUUUUAAGGAGUCCCGUAUCUCAUUUAACUCUCAAUUGAUAAGUGUUAUUCACAAUAGCUUGAUUGUUUUUUUCUUGCCUAAUUACUUUUAGAAAACAUUGGCACAUGAAGCAAUUCAUGACCUUUACCAUAAAAAAUUAAAUUAAAAGACAUUUCCAAGUUUUAAUUAAAUUACACGAAGAUAUAAAAAAUUUUAAAACAAUUUAAGGAGUCUCAUAUCCCAUUUUGAUAAGCUUUAUUCACAAUAGCUUGAUUGUUUUUUUCUUGCCUAAUUACUUUUAGAAAACAUUGAAUUCAUGACCUUCACUUGGGAUUAAGACCCUUUACGGACUGGGCAAUGAUCUCAUUGCCUGUGAGUAUACAACCAAAAUUUUCCAGCCAAGUUCUAACCGUCUCGGUUCAUUUAUACUUACUAGACAAUUACUGCAAAUAAAUUUAAAACUCAAGAUUCUAAAAAAUUUUACUUCUGCUUUAAAAGAAGUUAAGUUCGAGUGGAUCGAACUCCAUCAAUAAUUGUCUGUCUACAAAAAGGUUCAAUUUUUAGACAUGCAUUUGCAAUUUUGCAUUGUUUUUCUUGAAUUUGUAUUAACAUAUAAAUGUUUGGGUUUGCAGUUUCUUCCAACCAGGACAUAAUUGUAAUUUGCUCAUGAAUUGGUAAACUUAUGAAAUUCCUUUUUUUUUAGAGGUUACUUUUGAAGUCCAGAGAAGUUCCAGAUCAGAAGCAAGAAAGGAGGAGAUGCGAAUAUGGGAAUUACAAGUGUGUGUUUAUAACUUUAUAUUAUCCCCUUGUCUUAAUUGUGUUGAAGCAGAGAAUCCCCUGCCAUUCUUAAGCAUCUUUCUAACAGAGAAGCUUUCAUUCUGUCCCUUGUCCAUUCUUUCGUUGUACUUUUCUUAUUUUACAGCAACUGAGGAGAGGGAGUUGAGACUUGAGAGAUAGAUUGGAUAUGAUAAAUAUAAUAAAGUAUUUAGUUGAAGCAUUAUCCCCUUGGUCUCAAAAACUUACAUAAUCUGUGUUUCAUGUUAGGCUCAAGGUUUGGGUUACUUGUAAUUCCAAAAAUGUGAAGGCUCUAAAGCGCAAUUGUUGAAAGUUGAACGAAAACCAGAGGAACUUGAGAAAUAUAGUUGAACUUUUCUUUUUUAUCCUUUGUAAUUCUUUAAAUAUUAUCCCAAUUUGAAAGCUUAAUUUGCAAUUAAGAGCAAAUUUCACAGACUAAAAUGUAUUUUUAUGUACUAAUUUAAUAUAAUCAGGCACAAUUCAGAUAUAUGCAUUAGUAUUUUAAGUAAAUUUUAUUUGUAAGACAAAGAGACGAAUUGUAUUUAUAAGAUCAAAUAAGAACGCACAAGCUAAAAAGAAAAAACAAAAGCAGAAAAUAACAUUGAAAAGAUGAAUUUUUGCGGAUCAUAAUGGCAAGGGAAACGUUGAUACUAAUGAAAUUUAUUUAUUUAUUUUUUAUAAAAAAAUUGAAGAAAAAAAAUUAGGCGGGUAUGAUGGUAAUUUCCCUCCACGUUGACUCACGACACCGUUGUUCAUUUUCCGGGAAAGUUUCUAAACAAGCCAAUAUAUCGACCUGCCUUCCAUAGCAGUUAACACCUUACUCAUUGCAUUUGCAUGAAAUUGAAAUGUUUUUCUCCCCCAAAAAACGAUAAACACCACAACAAAGCUUUUUCUCUCGAAUUCUUAGCUCUGUUAAUUUGAAUCUGCGGUGCGGUACUUCCUAAAGGUAUUUUCUUUUCUUUGUUUUUCAAUUUUUUUUUUUUUGGGCUUUUUUUCUUGUUUUCUCUGUCAUAUUUUGUCAUUAGGUCACAUUUUGGCUUCUGGGUUUUGCACUCUGGUCAUGUAUUAACGGAGCUAUAUGCUUUUUUUUUUUUUUAAUUCUUUUGGUUUUGAUGUCUAAUUUGGGCACUUUUGGAUUUUAUUACAUGAGGGUUUCAGGGAGGAUUGCAACUCUGUUGAAAAAAAAAAAAAAAGGUACUUUUCAGGGUUAUUGGGAUCAAGGGUUCUAUUUCCUCGUUUUCCAGUGACCAGUAAUCGAAGAUUGAAUAAUAAUAAUGUAGGCAGUUUUAUUGAUGCCUUUCAGAUGCUUGAGUGAUGUUAAGUAUUGACCUUUGACAUUGAAAGCAACUGAUUACUUGUUUCUUUUUACUAAAAGGAGAAAACCAAUGCAGAAAGGUACAAAGAGUAAAUGCUCAUCUGCGUCCCACCAUCUUAUGGUAGACAAUGCAAAGAACCGGCUCAACGUUCUUCAAGAAAGAUUCUUUAAUCUUCAAGCUGCAAGAAAGGAGGGUCGAAUUGGUGACAUUUCCAUAUUGGAGGAGCAAGUGUAUCAAAGUCUUCGCGAAUGGAAGGCUGAGCUUGACGCACCAUCCCCUGCCUCUUCUUUACAUGUCAGAAUCUCUAAAAAUCUUAAUGUUGGUUUGUUCUGUUUAGUCAAUUCUAAUUGUCUUUGUAAGGAUUGUGAUAGAAGUAAUUUCUGAUUUGUAUUUUGUAGGGUGGUAGCGUUGGAAAUUUCUCAGAUGAUAUAGGCCGCCUUCUGCAAUUAUAUGAGGAGCAAGAUGAUGCCACUAGUGCAUUGGCGGAACAACCGAUUCUGGAGCAUGAGCCUAAUGUUCAAAGCCUUAAUAUUGGCAAUUUCACAGCAUUUGAAGAUGUGAGAUCUGCUUUUAGGAGUCAAUGUUUGUAUUGUGACUAUAAGUAUAGAAUCUUUUUCUUUCUUUUUUCUUUUUUCUUUUUCGAAAAAAAAAACUUUUUUUUAUUAACCUUUUAUAUGAUAUUAUCUUGAAUGUUUUUAAAGAUUACAACACUAGUCUGUCUAAUACAAAAUAAAAAUGAAGUUUUUAAUUUUGCAUUGUUUAUUUGCUGGUUUUCCAAUGGGGAAAAAAUUGGGGAAAGGAACCCUCAUAUUAAUGGAGGCAGGCAACAUACUGAAAGACUAAGGUUUCAGAUCAAUGUUUGUAUGUUUUGAACAUUGUUUUUCUUAGUGAUUUGACAAAGUAGAUAUAUGCAUUUUUGCACUUUUACUUGAGCUCAAGGCUUCUGUUCGUAUGCUAGGGCAUAUGCAUUCAUCUUGCAGGAUAUUCUUUUGUACAUGUCUUCUGUGUCGUUGUAGCCAUUCUAUAGUAGCGGUUUCCUAUUUUGCAAGUAUACUGUGAAAAAACUCAAUGUUAUUGAUCAUACGACUUAUUCUAGCGUGACCACAUCUUUUAUGUGAAAUGUCAAGAGGAAUACAUGAGAACUUGUCAUGAGCGGAGAAACAAUUUGGCUUGUUCUGAUUUAGUUUAUUUAUACAUGCAUGUGUUAUAAAGUUCUCGGUUAACCAACAUGGUACAUUUUGAUGUAAUGAAUAAUGAACAAAUAUAUUAUGUAUUGUGUUUGAAUUUGGAGCUUUAGCGUUAUAUUUUCUUUUUCACUUCAUAUCUUAUUUUUAUGUUUGAUUUUAUCAUUGUGAAAUUUCAUUCACUUCACAACAAUUCAGACUGUGUGUUUUUCAAGGCUCCCUUGAGUUUCGUUUCCUGCCUUUCAUGAUUUACAUACAAAAUAAUAGCUGAUGGGAAAAAAACACAUAAUUUUCAGGGCUGUUUACACAAUAGUGAGGCUCAGAUCCAUUUUCAAGGGUUUGAUCAAUCCAACAACUCCACAAUAGCAUUGCAGAAUGUGGUGGUGAGCACCUCUGAUAUGAAUACCUUUUUGGAUUGCCAUCAGUUCACUUUAGAUGAAGGAUUCAACCAUGGGCUUUCUUUUGGUGCUAAUGACAAUAAAGAGUUUGGAAAGAGUGCUGAGAUCAACAACCUGCCCUUCUGCCCUCCCCCUUCAGCUUUCAUGGGGCCAAAAUGUGCACUCUGGGACUGCUCCAGGCCUGCUCAAGGAUAUGAAUGGUUUAAAGACUAUUGUAGUAGCUUUCAUGCUAAUCUGGCUUUGAACGAAGGUCCGCCUGGUAUGUCUCCAGUUUUGCGGCCUAGGGGCAUUGGAUUGAAGGAUAAUUUAUUGUUUGAUGCUCUUAGCACGAAAGCACAGGGUAAGAAUGUUGGUAUUCCUCAAUGUGAAGGAGCUGCUAGUACAAAAUGUCCGUGGAAUGCUGCUGGUAAGUCUCCAGGAUAAUUUCUCCUUUUUUACUUAAUUUUAUGAUUCAGUUUCCUUUUGACCUUAUAUAGCCAUUCUGCAGCAUGCUUGCCUCUAUCAAGCAAUGCAAUUCUUAAAUUCUCUUUCGCUGAACAAUUGAACAGUAUUUAAUUUGGUUUAGAUUCAUGUAUGGAAUCUGACACCUGGCGUGGUAAUUAGCACAGGACAGUACUUUCUGGUUAAUUAACUACCUCUCCUUAUUGCAGAGCUAUUUGAUCUUUCCUUGCUCGAUGGUGAAACAAUUAGAGAAUGGCUCUUUUUUGAUAAGCCUAGAAGGGCAUUUGAAAGUGGAAGUAGAAAGCAGAGAUCAUUGCCAGACUAUAGUGGUCGUGGUUGGCAUGAAUCCAGGAAGCAAGUGAUGAAGGAGUUUGGAGGCCAUAAGAGGUCCUAUUAUAUGGACCCACAGCCUCCUGGCUGCUAUGAAUGGCAUUUAUUUGAAUAUGAGAUGAACAACUACGAUGCCUGUGCAUUAUACAAGUUGGAACUCAAGCUUGUCAAUGAAAAGAAGACUCCCAAGGGAAAAGUUACCAAGGAUUCACUUGCUGAUCUGCAGAAAAAGAUGGGAAGGCUCACCGCCGAUACUACUCAAGAAAAUAGUCCCUCUACUAAGGGCAGGAUAGAGGCUGAUAAAACGGCGCAUACUGAAGAUGUUGAAUUUGCUCCGGAUCUUAAGACUUCCAAGGCUGGUUCCGGGGGCCAUGAUUAUGCAAAAAAUCCUCUUCCAAGUAAAUUUGGUUGACUACUGAUUCACUGCUUAAUGGAUCAAUUUUAUUUAAAUGUCGGAAUGAAUGGCAUUCUGUAACGAGAUAUGGCCAAUGACUUUGAUUCAAGAUUCUGCUGAUGAUUUAUUGAAAAUAGUAAGUAGCUAGUAUGGUUGAGUUCUCCUUUUUGUACAUCAAUGGCAGAACUUGCUCUGUUGUUGUCAUGUGGAGACAUCAUGUGGUGUAGUGUAAUCUGGAGGUUCCCUUGAAUUCUCUACAAGUGCUUCACUUUACAGUAUAGCUAGCUUCACUUCCAAUAGUUUUGGGAACAAUGGUGAAUAUCAGAAAUGGCAGCUGAAAGUGUAUAGUGGAAGAUACCAAUGAUAGAAAGGCAUAUUAGAAAUUAGAAUAUACUAUGCCUUUGAAUACCUGGUAUUACUUGUCUUAUAAAUUAAGAAAACAUUACUGGACCAGGAUUACUUUAUCUCGCUUAUUUUCGUGGUUACACAGAUUUCCUUAAAAUAAAUUGAACGAGGUACAGUAUCAUUGGUAUGCCCUGUAGCUAAUACAAAUUGGGUACUCCAAUCUUGAGAUCCAAUGUAAUAUAAAGAACUGCCCAAGUUGCCACAGGUCUUGAAAAUUGACCAAAGAAAAAAAAAAUAAAAAAGAAAAUUUCCAGCUUAACAGUUCUAUAGAUAAACAAGAAUUACAACAAUUGGGGUAAAUUUUUAUCCCCCAGGGUUUCUUAUUAAACUUGAGGCGCAUAGCUAUAAGCCGUAGACCCAAAAAGGAGGAGGGGGGGGGGGGGGGGGUGUAGGGAAAAAAACAACAAAAAAUUUAAAUAUUUUUUAUAUGAGANNNNNNNNNNNNNNNNNNNNNNNNNNNNNNNNNNNNNNNNNNNNNNNNNNNNNNNNNNNNNNNNNNNNNNNNNNNNNNNNNNNNNNNNNNNNNNNNNNNNNNNNNNNNNNNNNNNNNNNNNNNNNNNNNNNNNNNNNNNNNNNNNNNNNNNNNNNNNNNNNNNNNNNNNNNNNNNNNNNNNNNNNNNNNNNNNNNNNNNNNNNNNNNNNNNNNNNNNNNNNNNNNNNNNNNNNNNNNNNNNNNNNNNAAGGGGGGGGGGGGGGGGGGGGGGGGUGUGUAAGGAAGAACAGACCAGAACAUUUAACUAGUGUUUAACCGAGGACCAAGAAUUUGCAUCAAUCCAGUUAAAUGCUAUGGGGCUCAGAAAAGCAUCAGGAAUGCCGAACGAACUGACCAAGGCAAGUGCAUGCGGUCGCAAUUCACUGCAAAGCUUUGCCACUUCUUUCCUUACAGCAGCAGCACUUUCUGUUGAUAAGUAACCAUACCGAAGAAAUGCAGAAUCUUCUUCCAAACAGAUCAAGGCAUACAUUGAUCUCAACAGACCUAAGACAUUCUGCAAUAGAGAAAACAUACAAAUUCAACAACUAGUUUUUUCACCUGUAGAAAUAUCUUUUUUACUUCCAUAUUAACCAUACUCCUAGUCAUAUGAUAUUCUAAUUACAAUGCACCAUCUCAAUGAAAUGGACUGCAUAAGAAAAUGCUUCCAGAGCUUCAGAAACUAAAGCAUCAAACAGAUUUGCAUAAGAAGAUAAGAUCCAUAAGAGUUUCUAAUAUUUACCUUCAAUGAACCAGCAGAUACAGUCGUCUCAGCCUCAAUGAAAGUUUGCAAUAUCAAUCGGUCUGAGAAAGCUCUGCCCAGGUCUUCUGCAAGUUGAUAACUCUAGUGGUGGUGGGGGGGAGGGGGAGGGGGAGAGGGAAAGUGACAAUAAUUAGAGUCAAUGGGGACCAAGAGAAUGGUAAUUUUAGUACGAGUAAAGCAUCCUUACCAUAAUAAAUGCGCGCUCUUUGCUUUCCCCAUUUGCUUGAUGCUGUGAUACUUCAGCAGCAAAACGACUCAGAAGAUCACGUUCUCGUAAGCAGAAAGCAUUAAUCUGAUGUAGGUAACUGGUGAGAUACACAUUUAGCAAGGUUUGAUUUUGAAUGGCUCAUUAAAUUAUUAAUAGUAUCACCUGGAAUUGGCUGCUUCUGAGGAUGGCACUUGUCAGCUGAGAUGGGAUGACAGGACAAGGUCCAUUCAUGUGUUCUAAUCCAAAACCCUUAAAAGGUUUGUUUUUCUUCUGAGCUGCUAUGUAUUCUGCAAGGAGUGCCUUGCUGACCUGAGUUCAAGAAAUCCACAUGCCUUAGAUUAGAACUCUUAAAUAAGUACCUACAUGUAAGCUAAUUCAGAAUAUUAAAAAUUUACAAGUUUUGAUUUUCUUUUUUUUUUUUUCCGGUUGGCGGGCAUUUUCAACAUUAAAAGCAUAGUUAACUAAAAGAACAUGGACAUCUAAGACAAUCAAAUCAUCUAAAACUCCCAGUGUUUGUUGGUUUAUUUUUAUCCAAAUUCACUCCAUUAAAAAUUAUAAACCUCAUUAUCUUAUCAUUUUCACAUCAGUUUGCGCUAUAAAAUCUCUAGAAACUUCUUUGAAUUCAAAAUGAUUUCACUAAUGUCCUUACGACAUCCUACAUAUCCAAAUUUGACUUGGUGAGAGCAAUUGUUUGCCUUAGGAACAAGAUAAUUUGCAUGUUGCAAGAAAGCCUAAUAAGCUAACCAUAAGCUGCUGUGCUACUGAAAUACAAAUGCUCACUAUUGCUCGAUCUGAGAUGGGUCUAAUAGUGGAAAUUCAACAGCAACAAUCUAAAUUACAAGCCCCGAAGAAACAGUUGAACAAGCUAUCUAAAUUUGUAUCAAACUGCAUGUUCUAAAAAGAGAUAUACAAACCAAUCCAGUAUCAUAAAAAAAAUUAGUUAACAUUAUUCAGUAAGACAAAUGAACAAAUAAAUGUUUCACAAAGUAUAUGACAUGAUUAAGCAAUUUAUAUAAAAAGGAAGACUACAAGCUUUACCUGCUGCAUGAGAACAUUAUUGUCCCCCUCAAAGGUGGACUGAACAUCAAAUUCACUCUUCAAAUGACCAACUCGAUUCUCAGUCUUCAAGCCUUGUCCUCCACAAGCUUCACGGCAUUCCUAUGAAACAUAGAAUAUGUGAAAUUUAGCUUAGAAGCUUAUCAUAAACCUAGUUCUCCAUAUGUGGUAUUUAGCUCCUCACUUGAAGUGUUCUCAUAUCAUGCCAGGUCAAGGUAGCCUUGAAUGCACUUGAAACAACAUGAAGGGUUUUAUUUGUUUCUGGCGUCCUAUUCCAGUAUAUCAUUUUCAAAUAAUUUCCAGCAAAGCUCAUAGCAUAUCUGUGAUCAAGAAAUCGAUGUUUCAAAUGAGUUCAGUAGUAAUGCAUUCAAUUUUACAUAUUUAUUCACAGACUUACGUCUUUGCAAGAAGGGGCAAGAGUCGUCGUUGGUGACUCGGAUAAUCAAGUAAUAGGACUUCAGGUCCAUUCGGUGUAACAGAAAAUGCCUGCCUAGAUAAUGAAUACCUUAUGGCAGUUGCUAGACCUAUCUGGUAGGAGAAAAAAUAAAAUCAUAUUAGCCUAAAACACAUUUUGAAGUUAACAGCCAAAUCAUGACCACAUAGCAACGCAAAGUUCAUAUAUAAUGCAGAAGUCAACACCAUUGUUUCAUUUCAAUACCUUUGAUGAGUAAAUUGCACUAACAGCAAUGGUUACACGACCAGAUGUCAGAGGGGCAAGAAAUGCUGCAAAUCUCUGAGGAAAAAGAAGAUAAAAAGUUUGUCUUAAAAAUCACAGGAAGACCAUUUAAAUGAUUCACAAGAUAAGACAAGAUAAGGAUGGAAGAUGACAAAAAUGAUAAUGAAUGUAGAAAAUUUUAACAAGCCUACUUGAUCUGCGUCUUUAAUAGCACUAAGAUAUUGUCCAUCCGGUGAAACAUCAGCUACUGAAUUCAACAGAUUCUCUCUGGGGAUUCUCACAUUGUCAAACCUGAAAAACAUAUCUACAAAAUUGUUAUGGCAUUCAUUUAGAGAUAAAAUAAUCAUUAUCAACAUAAGGAUAGAUAAAUAAGUACCAGAUUCGACCAUUAUCAACACCAUUCAAACCAAUUUUAUGACCACAAUCAGCUAUUCGGAUGUUAGGCCAUAUGUUUCCAUCUGCAUCCCUGAUUUGGGCUAUGAAUGCAUGCACCCCUUCACUCAUCCCAUUUAUAUUGAGCUGUGAGAACACUAUGGUGUGCGUUGCAUGCUAAAUUACAGUAGCAGAGGGAAAAAAAACUAGUCAAUCAUAUAGAUUAUGCAAUAAAAAAACAACUAAAAAAUGGAGGACAAGGAAUUAAUAAAGUAACAAACUUGAUAACAUAGCUUUCUGCAAAAAUCCUUACAUUAGCAGCUCCACCAAUCCAAUACUUCUGAGCUGAUUCACAAGGAGUAUUGAUUACAAAUUCCCCUGUGUUCGAAUCAUAUAUAGUGACAGUUUCAAUUCCUCGGACCUGAAAACAUUAACCGAAGAAAAAAAGAUCAAGAAUAAAUGAAAUGGAAAAGAGAGCACAAGCAAUCAACAAAGGCCUGAUACUCCAGACCAUAAGAUUGACAACCUUCACGUACAUUACUUCCAUGCCCCAAUUCUGUCAUAGCAAAGCAACCUUUAAUUGCAUAAGUUUCGGUGUCCCUAAGCCACUUAUCGUGAUGUCUUUCUGUCCCAAAAAACUGGAUAGCACCGCCCCUAGAAUCCACAAACAAAUAUUAACUUUCUUUCUUAGCACAAAAAACCAAAAACCAAGUCUUGCGACUGUAGAUUUCAAAAUUUUGUUCAUUAAUCAUAUUUGUGACUGUAGACAGAGGAAUUAGACAUAAUAAUUACCCAUUUUAACCUUUUAAAUGCUAAAAUCAUUCAAUAAAUAAUAAAAUAGUAAAAUACACACCAUAAAAAGAAGUGAACACCGAGUUUAAUAGCGAGGGAGUGAUCAAACAUGCCAAUAACUUCAAACAAGGCCAUUUUUUUCAUUUCCGAUUCAAGACCUUUCCCUGUUAACCAACCAUCAAAAACCCCUCUUUCCAAUAGAUACGCCACCCGUCUCAUCGUUAUUUCUCUCUGCUGUUCCAUGGACUGGUUAUAAUCCGGCGCCACAUACACUCUCCCUCCCUUCUCUCGCGGAUUAAACACCUUGCUCUGCCUCAUUAACCCAAACAACCAAUCCCUGUCAUCGAUAUUGUGCAUAUCCAGCAAUUUCCGCAUCUCAUUUGGAUCAAAAUCGCAUCUUUCAUGAAGCUCCGGUGGAGAAUAACUGACACAGGCAUUCGAUUCGAGAGAAGAAAUGGAUUGAGAAGAAGAGCUAAGGAGAUGGUUGGUAAGGAUUCGAGUACGAAUCAAGGCGCGAUCGGUAGAGGAUUGAGAAGCCAUGUUUCGGGGAAAAAGAAGGAGAAGUUUUUAGAAUAAGGGUUUUUGGUUUUGAUGAUUUCUCCGAACAAAUUGGAUAUUGCUAAGAAGAUGAAGAAGAAGAAGAAGAAAAGCGUGUGUGAAAAGGGAAAGAUUUUGGUAAAUUUAAAUGCGGAGUAGAUUUUGGAAUUACGAGCGCGCGAGUUAGACGUCAGCAAGCAUGGUGUUAGUUGACGGGGAGGUGAGACCACGCUCAGUUACGUUUAGGAUGUCUCUUGAUGUUAGCGCCCAUUAUCCACUCAUCUUAUCCUUUCCUUUUUUUUUAUUUUAAGAAAACUAAAAACAUGAAUUAUCUUUUUUUUUUUUUCUUUAUUUCAAAUAGAGAAUUACUUAUUUGAUAACCAGAAAUAAAAUCUUAUUUCUAAAAAAAAUCUAGAAAAAUGGAAUAGGGUAUAUCAGUAUUGCUAGCAAGAAAAAAAAUAAACUAAGAUAAAAUAAAAUAAUAUUUCUCUUUUUUAAUAAAAUAAAUAAAAAGAUAAAACUAAAACACUAACAAACAGUACAAAAAGUUUCGUCUCAUGGACGAAUUGUUAAGAUAAGACCGUACUCAUAAUUGAAUUGAUGUAUCCUAAUUUCUUAACAUAGCAUUGUGAUUACAUAGGAUGCUAUGAAAUUUGUUUGAAAACAAAUAGUGAAAAGAAAAUUAAAAUUCAUGUAUCAGUCACUUUCAUAAAUUAUUGAUUUAUAGAACAUUAGAUAGAUAUUUAUAUGUUUCUCCUCCUUUUUAUUUUUUUUUUCUUUUUUAAAUUUCACAAUGAGAAAAAUAAUGCAAUUUGAUAAAGUAUUUCUUAGAAUAUUAUAAAUUUAAAAUAAUUUAAAAUUACAAUGUAAAUCACAUAUAUAUAUACGAUCCGGCAUAUACUGUAAGCUCACAUAGACUGCAGGGAAAGAGUUUCGGCCAAGCUUAAUUUUUUUAUGAAAAAUUAAUUUUUUUUUCAAUAAUAAAUUAAUCAUAUUAAAAACAUAUAUUAGGUUUUUAAAAAAUUAAUGAGCAAGAUUACCCAAAAUUUGACCAAUACAUAAUUUGAAAAUCCUCUAAGUUAUAAUCAUGGCAACGCAAAAAAAAAAAAAAAAAUUGAACCUUCAGAUUUGUAAAUUCAUCACGAGGCCCAAAGGGAAGCGACUGGUUGGCAGGUAUAGAGAGAGAAGACAGAGGGUGCCAAGGAAGAAGAAGAAGAAGAAAAAGAGGAGCAGCUAAAAAAAAAAAAAAAAUGGAGCUUCGAUUCAGAUUGAAAACUAUAUUUAAUGGAAGAAGAACAUCAUGAUCCCCUCAGGUACUUUCGAUAUCUACAUGCUCUGCUCCCUUUUUUUUUUUCUAUACUUGCCGCGUCAAUUACUCUUUCACCUUCCUUUCUUCUCUUUUUCCCCUUCUUUAACUCUCUCUCUCUUCGCCAUUGCCACCGGCUUCAACUUGCGCAUCUAUUACGGCUUCCUCGUUUUAUAUCUAUUGAGUUAGGGUUUGAUCGGUGAAUUAAGUCCUCCAUUUUCAUGUUUUUGCCAAACAACCCCUCUUUUUAAAAAUUUUGCACUAAUGUUCUGUCUUCUAUCUUUUUUUUAUUAUUCUUUUUCUUUUUCUAUUAAACUUGUCGAUGUAAAUUUGGAAAUAUAUUUGUUAAGCUGCUGUGCUAAAAUUGGUUUCUGUCAUUUCUUUUUUAAAUCAUUUUGUCCAAAAUUUAUCUUCUAUUUUGAGAAAAUAAAAAGUAUUAAUUAGUUUUAUUUUAAUUUAUCCUUAUCUUUCUACUUAAUAUAUUAAUUAUAUUUUACAAUUUUCUAAAAUUAUUAUAUCUUUCUUCAUUUUAUUAAUUUUCAUGAAAAUAAUUUUUUAUCACUUUCCUUUUUCAUAAAGGUAAUUUAGUCACAUUAAAAGUAUUUCGUUAUAAUUCAUAUAAUUUAAUUAUUUUCCUUAUUAUCAUCAUUCACAUUAAAUUUUAAUUUCAAGCUUAUUUUUUAUGGUGAAAAUUUUCUUGUAGAAACUAAAUUUGAAAAUUCAUUUUCAUUUAAAAUAAGUUGAAUUUAUUUAUGGUUUUCCAAGAAAAAAGUUUCUACUUUGCCUUUAAAAAUCUCCCCAUUUUACAUAUAAUUUCUUAUGUGAAUUUUAAAUAUAAUUUGAAUAAAAAAUAUGUAAAUUAAUUUCACCGUUGACAUUUUUUGGAUGCAUAUAGUCAUAAUAACGAUGUUGUUAAUGCAGCUUAUCUGUGGCAGUUCUUGAGCAAGGAGUAUAUUUAUUUGAUCAUAAAUUUCUUAUGCUUCUACUUCAUCCAAUUUCGCAUCCUCAUGCAUAUAACUUGUUCAAUUUGCUACAGGAAAAACCCCCAAGAAUCCAAGGUUUUGCUAUGGAAUUCCAGUCAGAUGAUCAGGCAUGGUAUGAUGUUAAGGUUUCAAGGAAUGAUGAUAUACUGACUGUAAAAUAUGUUAAUUUUUCAGAAGAGUUCAAUGAAACAUUUCAUGUGGGGAAGUUCAAGACCAUAGACAAAGUGAAUGAUUUCAAGAGAAGGUUUAGGCAAAGCAGUGUCCAAUUGCAAGAUCAAGACUGCCAUAAAAUUUUUCAAGGUAAAACAGUUUGUGCAUCAUAUAAUUUCAAUAAUGGCGAAGUUAAGUUUUUUGAUGCUAUGGUUGUUGAAGUGUUAAAUGAGAAGCAUAAGGUUGGUGAAGAAGAAGAAGAGUGUUCUUGUACUUAUGUGCUUAAAUGGCAUGAUGGCUCACUUGAGGGAGAGAGGACAUUUGCCAAGAUUAGUGAUAUUUGCCUUACUCCACCUGGUAACCGAGUCGAUCCAUCACUAGCUGCUUUCUUGAAGAUUGCAAUGGAGAGAAUUGAUAAGGGUUCUCUAAGGUGUGAAGUUGCAGGUCACGAAGAACCUAAUACUGCUUCUCUUGAAAGCAACCCAGUUUUGAACAUUGAAGCAUACUUCAUGAAACUGAGGAGACAAAGAAAGAAUAGAUUUGCAGUUAGGACGACGGAGGGAAGGGUUAAUGGCCGGUGUAAGAGGUUUCAAAAAAAGCAAAUAGUGGAUAAAUUAGGGUUCAUCAUGUAAUGUAAUGUUCUGUUUUGGUAUAUGUUAGUUUUUUUCUUGUGUUACUUUCCAAACAACUCGUAUUGAUGAGACUAUCAUUUCAGUUGCAUAAAUCCCUUUUCUGUCUUUAUAUUAAUGUCAGGCAAUACAAUAACGCAUCCAAGAGAAAUAGCAGAAGACAAAAAAUUAAUCAAUCAAUCAAGUAAAAACACCAUUAUCUUAACAAGAUUCCCAAUCUCUGCAAAUAAGGCUAACCUAGAGGGUUACAAUAUUCCAAGGAAACAAACAUACAAAAGAAUAACAAUUCAAAGGAACAAAUUUGAUAAUAUCUUGGAUCCAAACCUCUAAGUGGUCUCUCAGCUUUAAAACAGUUUGCUAAUCUCAAAGCAUGCCAUCAAAUUACAGAUGCCUUGACAGCAUUCCAGGUGGUUUCUGUUUGGACAUGUUUGAGAGAGAGAAAGGCAUCUUCAAACCACUGAAAUGCAAAUCUUUGAAAGGAGAAACUACUGACACCAAGACUUCAUUUAAUAUAUUCUAACUAAUAACUAAGCUGAGCAGCAUCCAACUUUUUUCACAGCUGAUACAUCAUCUUUGCCAACAUUAAUAGUUUGUCCCUUGGGCAAGGCUGCAGGGUCGUCCCCGACCUCAAGAGCCUUCCGGCUAACAACAUGAUAGAUCUGAGUUAAUACUUCAGUAAAGGCAUUUUCAACAUUCAAGGACUCUAGCGCAGAAGUUUCCAUAAAAAAGGUUUUUUCUUUCUCAGCAAAUGCCUUAGCAUCCUCAGUUGUAACUGCUCGUAAGUGGCGCAAAUCUGCCUUGUUCCCCACAAGCAUAAUAACAAUAUUGGAAUCGGUAUGAUCUCGAAGCUCCUUCAACCAUCUCUCCACAUUCUCAAAGGUGACAUGUCGAGUCACAUCAUAGACAAGCAAGGCACCAACAGCUCCUCUAUAGUAUGCACUAGUGAUUGCACGGUAUCUGAAAAAUAAUAUGCUAGGAUGAAAAUCUAUUUUGCCAAAUUAAUAUGAUAAAUAGAAAAUUAUUCUGCCCAAUCAAACUAAUAACAAUGACUGGAAAGCCAAAAAAAAAAAAGCAAUCAUUUUCAGACACUUGAAGAAGAUAAGGUUCAAUAAUCUCGGUAAAUGACAUGCAGUGCAUUAAAGCAACACAAGUUGUGCGAAAACAGAUACAAAUAAUUUUCUCUCCACAAAUUGUGCAAAGGCAACAAUAUAGACCCACAGAGCAUUCCUGGGAGGACGGGUUAAUGUCCUGGAAUUGUUGCAAAAUGGAGGCAAGAUGAGAACAAAUCAGACAUCAGAUAAUGGAACUUAACUUGUUUUCUUCUCAUUAUCUUCUGCACUACCAAAUCCGAGAAUUACUCAGAACACACAAGUUUAGCAUAAACUAUAAAUCCAAGCAGCAUUAGUUCAAGCCAAUACAACUAACAUCUCAGGUUACUAUGAAAACCUUUAUAGACUUGUUUUUGCCAAGUAAGAAAUGAAAACAGAUGAAAAAUCAUACAGGAGCAGGCCAAAGACUGAAAAGUCAGAGUCCUGUUCAUGUUACCAAAUGGGAAUCACUAUUAAGAAAACCAUACAAGAAUUAACCCUUCCCAGCUGCCGCAAGUCCUUUCUCAUCAUCAGUCAUUGACAUGGGCCAUAUACUUGUCCAAAUCUUGAUGGAACUAAUUUUUCAAUCAAAUAUUUGAAAACCUUACCUUUUUUAUUUUUUAUUUUAUAUUAUUUUUUGUUUAUUUAUUUUUGCACAUUGAAGAAAGCAACGAAUUCUUGCUGCUGUUAUUGCCUUGAGAAGAUUAACAUUGGAUCCACCGACCCAAGUAAGAAAUUAUGUAAAAAUAUAAGAAAUGAGAGGGAACUAUGGCUGUCAUCAACAUUUAACACAGAUCAACCCAGGCAAACUCCAAAUCAGUAAAUAGGCAACUUGGGCACUUGCCUUUAUGUUUUUUGGCAGGUGGGACUCACAUGAAACCUUUCAGGGUCCAUUAUUGGCAUUAAAACCUCGUCAGACCCUCCACGUGUAUGCAAUGAAGCCAAAAACAUACAUACGGAAGGAUCAAACUAAGCUUUAUUGUUCAGAGGCAUCAAAUUGAACUAAUAGUUAAUUACCAAAUCAAAUGAGCAGCCACUAAAAAAGAGAAGUAAAUUCAUAAGCGUCAAGAGCUACAUAUCUAACAGAUAACUUGAUCCCAAAAUAAAUCAAUAAAAAUGUCAUCUUCUCACGUUCUUCCAGCUCGAAUAAGCAACAGAGUUAUCAUGGAAAAAAAUUAGGACAAAAAAAAUCCCAAAAUGCAAGAAGGAAUGGUAUUCUAUAGCUCUAAGAACUUUAAUGUACAGAUCUAAAAUAUUAAGCAAGAAAAGAGCUAAUACAGUGUGCUCUCUGUAUCUGUUGAACAGAAACAAACCCCAUAUAGCAGAAUCUGAAAUAAGUCGGUUUGGAAUUUAAAAUUGAAGUAAAAAUUAUACCUUUCCUGACCAGCGGUGUCCCAAAUCUGGGCCUUGACGACCUUGUCGUCGACAUGGAUGCUUCGGGUGGCGAAUUCAACACCUAUGGUAGAUUUAGAUUCAAGACAGAAUUCAUUUCUCGUAAAUCUUGAUAAAAGAUUUGAUUUUCCAACGCCGGAAUCACCAAUAAGUACCACCUUGAAUAAGUAGUCAUAAUCAUCGUCUGCCCUGUAAGCCCCCAUUAAACUAAAUUCCCUCUCUUUCUUUGAGUUUUGAAUUGAAAGAAAAUAUAGGUUUUGAAAAUGAAGAUCAAAUGAUCUUUUAUGUUAAGCUAACGGAAGAUGGGAAAUGUGGGCUUUUGGAAAUAAAAGAUCAAAAUGAAAUGGGUUGGACUUAGUUUCUCGAUAUAUAGCUAUGGAAACUGGAUCUCUCUAUCUACCAGAAAAUACUGUUGAUGUUUAAAUUUAAAAAUCUUGACAUUGUUUACUUUAUCUUAGAGAGGGAGAGAGAGAGAGAGAGAGAGAGUGGGCGCCGCUUGUGAUUUGCAUAGAAAGGAGAGCUUGGAAUUGCAAGACAGAGGGAGAGAGAGGGCUUUUCAAGUUAUAACAAUAAUACUAAUACUAUAUUCUUACUAAUAAAAUGGUUUUAAAAUUUUAUUUUAUUUUCAUGCUCAAAGUUCAAAAUUUUAAAAAUAUUUUUUUUAAUUACUAAAAUAUUAGUUAGAUCCAUGGGAAUUGAGAGAGAGAAUUUAAACAUUGCGCAGACUUAUCAAUUCUUUUAAUGUAACCGAGGAAAAAUAAACCACAGUCAGUUCAUAUAAUUGAUAAAUUUUAUAAUGAUCUCAAUUUUACCGUUUUACAAAACAAAAAUGUCUAUUUUAUAAUUAUCCUAUUUUUACCAAAUAAUUAGAUUAUAAAUGAAAUUAUAAGCGUUGAUAUAUUAGUGGUUUUAUUAGCUGAUUAAACCGUUGGCUAAACGUUAAAUAUUACUAGAAAAGAAAAUAUAUUUUUUCUUAUGAUUUAUCUCUAAAAUUAAAAAUAAAUUAACAAAAUGGAAAAUGGACCUACUUUAUUACGCAAACUACCCCAAUUUAAGUUAUUUAAUUAUUUACUUAAUUGCAGCAUUAUGUAAAACAGCUAGGAUCUCCAAAUUGUGUAUGCAAUGGCAAUUUAGACCAGCCUUUCCAACACUUUGUUGAAUUAGGAGAACUAAAACGCACUCCAAUGCAUAAUCUAGUAAUAAAUGUAUAUAAGAACUGACAAUAGAUCUAUGCUCGAUUACCUCUUCUCCAACACUCAAAAAAAAAAAAAAAAAAAAGGAAAAAAAAAACAUAUUGUUCUCAUCAAGACAACUACAUUUGAAUUUGAUGAAGUCAUGUCUGAGAUCGGCAGGAAUAUGAUAGAAUCAACAAUGUUGACGAAGAGACUUAUAAAAUAAAUUAAUUAAAAAUUAGAAAAGCUGGUUGGCCUGAAAGGAUAGUUUCAUUCUCACAGAAGAAAAGCCGCUUUGAAUUGUUCUUAUUUGUUUUGGAGUUGCACUCUUCUUGGAAUAUUCUUAAUUAACGGCUCAAGUUCUGAACUUUUCUUGUGUUUUACAAUUCCUUCUGGAAUUCUGAUGUUAACAAUCAAGGAAUGGAUCUUGCUUUUCAUUUUUCAUCGUUGACAAGAUCGUCAAUACACCCAUCUACUGUUACAGAAUUAAACAAAUGAAAUAAAAACAAUUCAAAACGGCUUUUCUUCUGUGAAACUCCAUUGAUUGUUGACUACAAUCCAUCGUUUCAAUUUGGUUUGAGGAAAGAAUAAAUUCCAUUGAUCUUUUAGUAAGCUAUGUAGCCAGUAGAAUGGCUUUCUGAUUGCUGAACAUGAAAAAUCAAUAUUGGGUUUACAUAUCAAUGAGGAUAGUUUUAUUGUGCAUUAUUGUUUAAUUGAAUUUGACAAAGAAUACUUUCUUCAGUAUUGUGUAAAAUAUACCUAUAUUUAGGUUAACUGCUCCGCAGAAUUCAAGAAUUGAGAGGUAUAAGUUACAGAGUUGUGUUCGAUUGAUUUCAUUCCUUCGGCCUCUUACUCAUGGCUUUGCGCUUAUUGACAUCCAGGUAUCUUUUUCUCAAACGAAUGGCCUUAGGCGUAACCUGCGUGAAAAUGGUAUCAGACACUGCAGUAAGCCAAGAAUAUGGCAAUGUAGUAGUAUACAUCUCUGGUUGCAAGAAAUUUCAAGCUCCACUGCUGAAAUAUGUUUGAUAAAAUAUUAACUCCACAGAAAUUCAAUAAAACGGCCUUAAAUAUUUUGGAACACAAUCAAAUAGGCCAAUAGGUAGUACUAUAAACCAGAAAUGGAAAUGCAACAAUGUUUAGUGAAGCUCACCUCAAUAAGCUCAUCGGAAGCAACAUAGCCAAUGGCUUCUUCAAGAGUCAUCUGCAAAUGGUUGCAUUACAGUUAGCAAUUUCUUGAACGUAUAUUUUUAGUGUUUUUUGUUCAACAGAUAUUGAAAUAGUUAAUAACUCUUUUAGUUGUUUAUAAUUACUUGAAUAUCAUCUUAUUUUUCCCAUGCAUUAAUUCUUUGAAUUACCGUUCAUUUGCAACUAUUUUGUUCUCAUUUUCUCUGGGUAUAUACAAAUAUACAAUCCGUGCAAAUUGGGUUAUUCCCUUUCAUGUUUUUAUUUAUGUUCAUAUAUCAUUUAUCAAGAGAUUAGGAGCGAAUAAGUUGUGAAUCGCACUUUGAAAGUAGUAUUAUGUCACAUGCUUUAUGUCAUUUGUCCAAGGAUUGGCAACAUUUAACCUUAAGAAUAGAAACAAUCAAUAAAACUGCAAAAUCUGGGCAUUUCAUACCAAUCGAGGUGGAGAUAGUUUCACAUUCUCAUCUUUGCCAGCAGCACGCAUGUUAGAGAGCUCCUUAGCCCUAACCGGGUUGAUCUGUGAAAAAGAAAAAAUUUUGAAGUCAUUCAUCUUGAAAUGAUACAAUGCCAAGCGCAAGAGACAUAAAUCCUUACAUCGAGAUCUGUAUCACGCGAAUGUUCACCCACAAUCAUGCCAUCAUAUGUCUGCAAAAGAACAAAAAGUGAGCAGGUAGUUUUUCAAAUUCCUUCAGAACAAAUAGCCUUCAAUUCAAGAACUGGGCUGACACACUAAUUGGCCCCAAAAAGUGAAGAGAUGGCACAUCAUUUCUUAGCACCUGCUAUGUAUUUUCCAUCAUCUCAAAAAUAAGUGGGAGAAUGUUCAUGCAAAUCCUGCAUCAAUAUCACUGCUGUAUGGAGGAAUUAAAAGAUAAUAGAUUGGCAACAACAAAGAGUUUUCAUGAACAAGAUAUCGCCCCAACAACCAUAUAGAGGUGUCACCGAUCAAUUAAUAUAUAUACUACAUGGUUAUGAAAAAAUAUAUAUGUACAAAUUUAGAAUUUGAAGAUUAACUGAAAAUGCUCCAUUAGAAUUCAUUGCUUAAGCGUGCCGAGAAAAUGUAAAGAAUUUCUUCACAACUAUACAAAUUCAAGGCAUGGAAGAAGUGAACAGAAGCAGAAAGACAAUAAGUCAAGAAAGAACCUCCAUUCCAGGAGUAACAAAGAGUGUUCCACGAGCUUCCAAACUCAUUAAUGCAUAAGCUGUGACUGUACCAUAGCCCAUUGAUACCUGUUCAAUUGCAUAAUGCAAGUUCAAUUAGAUCCAAGAAAUAAAACUUGCAUUAGUCAGUACACAUCCAAGCAAAUAAUUCAAUUACAAGAGCAAAUCAUAUAAAUUUCGCUAACAAAUGGUUCUUUCAAAGAGGGGAAAGAAAUAUUAGAAGGGUAGAGCAAAAGAAUAAUGAUUCUAAUGCAACAAUCAGUCAAAUUGUUUGCAGCAAAUUAAUCUCUCUUACCUUCCAUCUCUUCUUUGCCAAUAGUCGCAACCAAUUCUAUUGAAUAUAUCCCAAGAUCCAAAGGGUUUAUUAGAUAUAAUCCUAGUAUCCUAGUCAAACCUAAAUUCAGGUAAAGGCUACUGUAGACUCAUAAAGCUCAGAUGAGAAUUUAUUGCCCCAUUGCAGUGGGUCCUACAGAUACAAAUUCGAUCAGAUCAGCUCUGGGUAAAGCCCUAUCCUUGAAUUGAGGUAAACAAAACAAGAGCUUCAAAUUGAACCACAGAAAACUCAAAGAAAAUAAUUCAUUUUCAAAUAUGACAAAUAUUUGGUCUGCUCUUAUAGAAAAUAACUGAAAAGAACAACUAGUAUUAGUUCAAUCGUGAGGAAAUGAUGUGCAUGUAAAACAUACCAAUACUCCCUUCCUAACAUUUCCAAGUGGGCCCCGAUAUUUUUCAUAGGCUGCAAAACAAAAGAAUAAAUUGUGUGAGCAAAAUACUUUGUCAAGAGUUGGUUGUUGGAGCAAGGUUGACCUACACAAUCACUGGAGAAACUGAACACAAAACAUAAAUGGAGCAUCUACUACUUAGAAAUUUUGCACAGAACCUACCAAUUCAUACAUUGAGUAAUAUAAAUGGGAACCUUAAUUAUAUUGAAAUUUGAUCCUUCCCUACAUUUUCGAUCAAACUAACAUAAGACAUCCCAAAAAUAGAAUAUUGAAUCCAACUUGGUAUACAAACAAUUACCAUGUCACACAAGUUCAUAUUGCCAAAAAGAAAGUCAAAUACUACUUAAAGAAAUCUAGAAAAUAAAAAAUUCCAAAAGAAAGAGAAUGACAACAAGAUUGUCGUGAGUGAAGAAUUUAUACUCAGGAAAGCUCGAUGCAUAAAUCCAGUUCCACGUGUAUCACUGCUGAACACACUCCUAUAACCAACCAGGCCCCUGAAAUAUAUGACAAAAAAGGACCAGUUCUGGUAAAAUGGCUAAUUAAGAAUAAACAGGAAAGGAAUAUUCAAAUAGAAUUGAUAAAAUAUAUACAAUUUUUUAUGAUGAAUACAUUACCCAGGAUACAACAAAUAUGCAUGUAACUACGCAAACAUAAUUUGGGCAGUUAUGCACUGACCUUGAUGGACAAGUCAAAGCCAAUCUAGUCCUACCCAGAUGUCCAGGCACUGGGCCCAUAUCAAGAACUUCAGCACGUCUGUGAGAUAGAGCUUCCAUAACUAAUCCCACAUGCUCUUCAUUUAUCUGAAAUAAAAAAUAUUAUGAAUAAACCAAAGUUCCUAUGAGCAAAAAACCAGUGCAUUCAAAAUUUUGAAAUUCUUACCUCAAUGGUUACUUCUUCAAUUGGUUCAAGCUUCUGGCCAUUCUGUGUUUUAUACCUGAUUCAAUAAUGUAACAUUGCUCAAGAUGCAAAAACCAAGUGCAUAUGCUUGUUUGCUUACAUGCUAAGUAUCUCACACAGGACUUACAUGACUUUAGGUGGUGAUACAGACAGCUCAAACCCUUCCCGCCUCAUAUUCUCUAUCAAAAUACCUGAUAUUAAAGCAUCGGAAAUUACACUCAGCAGUUACAGUACUUCAAGUUGAGUUGUAGAAGGAAGGACGUAUUAUUACGAAUCUAUGCUUUACAUUGAAUAAAACAUAUAAGCUGUAGCACUAGGUUAAGAGGGACUAACCGAGUUGAAGUUCCCCUCUCCCUUGAACUUCAUAUGAUUCUGACAAACCAGGAAUGACAUUUAUGGCAAGGUUAGUUUCAGCUUCAGCCAUUAAACGAUCACCAAUUUUUCCUCCAGUCAACUAUAGACAUACAGAAGAACACCAUUACCUCACAUACAAUAGCCAAAAAUGAAAAACACAUAUAUAAAAAGUAUUUUCUAAUGUGUUAAACAAUGUGGAAUUAGGGAAAAUAAGUUGUCAGGCAGUUCGACUUACGUGGGUACCAUCUCGGCCAGCUAGUGGAGAAUCGUUUACACCAAAGGUCAUGGAAAUGGUUGGAGGGUCCAACUCAACAGUCGGUAAUGCAGUCAUCACCUAGAGAUAUAUAAUACUUCACUUUAGAAUAUGACCCCACAACUUGAGAUAUCAAUCAACAUGCUACCAAGAAUUAUGUAUCACCAGGAAAACUGUAACAGACACAUCAAGAACAUAUUGUAGACAUAACCAAGAAGAAAGAACAUAUAAAUAAUCAUACACUAUAUUAAAUGCCUUAGCUGAAAUUGCAAAUCCUAUGGUGGUAGAAGCGACAGAGUAAAAGGCUAACACUCAAUCAAUGUGAUUAAUUGGAUAAAGGUUACAUCACUAGAUUGAUUUCAAGGCUGAUUUACAUUCUACACACUAGAGCCAAAAGAACAAGUUACAUCCAUCGAUGCCCACUUCUUUUGAAACAAAGCACUACACAUACUAUUAGCAAUAUGGUAAAUUUUAUUUAGAUCCUCAAUAGACACCUGCAAGAACAUGUGCUUCAGCCUUCAGAUUUUAGCCACCAACACAUUCACAAGUACUAAUUGGAAGACCUGUAACUGGCCAGUUCACCAGAAAUUACAACUGGGGACAAUGUCUCCAAGCAUCAUUAAGAUCAAAAUUUAUUCGCAGGAUCCAUGGAUCAUGCUCAUUUUCAAACAUCGGUGCUUCAUCAGGAAUACCCACUGGAAAAAGAGAGAGAGAGAGAGAGAGAGAGAGAGAGAGAGAGGGGACAAUGCAUUUGUAACUGCAAAAAGGAAAAAGUCUUCAAAACUCACAAAGCAAAGUAUCAUUGGCACUUUGGCGGUAGGUAUAUAGUCAAGAAAAUCUGUAAGAACUGUAUAACCAUAUAAAGUACCUACAGAGUUCUACUUGAUAAUACUGAUCAGAAUGAAAGCAGCAAGUGAUUUCAAUCUUAGUAUAUGCAAAGCCAUUAGUAAGCUACACACAAUUUUUUAAAAAAAGCACAACAUAAUUUUUCUACAGAAAGCAUGGAAUCAAAGAAUUCUGGGAAAGAAUACACCAGGGAUAUUCAAUAAAUUUCCAAGAAAAGAUAAGUGCAAUGCCUGAGAUAAAAGAAAACAUCCUAUUUACUCUUGAAAACAAAUACAACCAUAUACCUCCACAUUUGCCAAUGUAUGGCCUAUUGAUGGAAUUGCCAUACCAGCCAUUGAUAUAAUGUCACCAGCUCCAGCACUAUCGAUGAGAACUGUGUUUGUACCCUUCUUCUUCAUUAGCUUCAUAACCUACAAGAUAAAAGAUGAACAUGUUAACGGUACAAUCAAAUUUCCAGUUGCAGAAGGUUCAGGCAUCUCACAUAUAAAACUGGUUCAAGAAUUGUCUCAAUAUAACUGCUUUUACCGAAUCCUCAUGCUUUGCACAAGAGAUGAAAUAGCAUUCUACUGAAAAGAAGUAAGACUUGUAAAGUCCUUCCUAACAUUGUAUGUAAUUGAAAGGUGAUCAGAAACAAAAGGAAACUUAAAAUACAGAUGUUUGUAUUUGGGGUUCCUAAUGCUUGAUAUAAGAAGUCAAGACAUAAAUAAUAUGGGAACCAGUUGAAGCAAAAAAUAAAUAAAAAGUCAUCACAUUCAAAUGUUUGGUACUAAUAAAAAACCCUUCAUCAUUGACAUUCUGAUAGAAUAAAUAAAUUGCUUCCUUUGCCCUUUCCAUCAACGUUGUAGACUACUGCAAACUAUAUUAAUUGGGUUCUCCCUUGUCUUGUCUAGUUCAAAAAUUAACUGAAAACAAACUAGGAGACAAUGGAACUGCCAAGGAUGACGUUUUGGUCACAAUAUAUCAGCUACAGGCUGCAGCUAAUGCUGAAUAGGCAUUUUUCUCAAAAUGAGAGUUAUGGAGACAUGGAACGAUAUUAUUUAUCAUUGCAUUGGCUACUUUAUUCAGCAAAGCAGUACACUUCAUGAACUUUACAAGAAUAAUAAGGCUAAAACAAAGGUGAUACAAGAGUAGGAACAUAAUGUAAUAAUACAGACAUGGAGGAAAAGGAAAAUUUUCACUAACAGUUAAGGGAGAAAAUUUUAUUUUUAAAAUUUUAGAGUUCUCAAUAUUUAUGAUAUCACAGGAAGUGAAGCUUUUAGUUCAGAUCUAAAUACCAAGCUGCAACCUAACACCAGAUAGAAUCAGGGUGAAUGAAGCAUGAAUGAUUUCCAUAUUGAAUCCUUCAAUUUAGCAAAGCAGGAAGGUCCUGAAAAUGAAAUUCAAGGCAUUGUUUCAAUAUCAUAGCAUGUACGAUACUAACCUUUCCCUCUUCAAUUUUCACAACCCCUGAAUCUGUGGAACGUAGUCCAUGCACCCUGUCCCCAACACGAAGGACUCCAGAAGCAACACGUCCGGUUAAUAUCCGCCCAAGAUAGAAGUCUUUUUCCAUCAUGGAAACCUGAAAAGCAACAGUGAAAAAGAGAACAAUAACUACCAUAUAUAUAUUCCAGUCAACUAUAGACAUNNNNNNNNNNNNNNNNNNNNNNNNNNNNNNNNNNNNNNNNNNNNNNNNNNNNNNNNNNNNNNNNNNNNNNNNNNNNNNNNNNNNNNNNNNNNNNNNNNNNNNNNNNNNNNNNNNNNNNNNNNNNNNNNNNNNNNCAUAUAUAUAUAUAUAUAUAUAUAUAUAUAUAUAUAUAUAUAUAUAUAUAUUACGUGACCAUGCCAUGCUCACACGAUGUGUACAUAUUCAAGACAUAAACACACAUGAUUAAACAUUCCACUGGAACCGACAGUGUGUAAUACUAACCAGCAUCUGAAAAGGAGCAUCAAGGCUUGCUUUUGGUGGUGGAACAUGCCUUAUGAUAGCAUCAAGCAACUGUGACAUAUUCUUUGCAUCAGUAGGAGGAUCUUUAGUGAAGGUGGAAGAUGCCCAGCCCUCUUUAGCGGAAGCAUAAAGAACAGGAAAAUCCAGCUGUUCCUCUAAAUCAAGAAUAGCAUAGGUUAUAUACCUCAGAGUUUAUAUCCAGUUAAUAAAGCAUGUAAAUAACUGUGAAGGAAAUCAAAUAAUGGAGGGUUCAAAUUCCUAUCUUUAUUUCACCUGUAGCACCCAGAUUGGCAAAUAGAUCAAACACAAGGCUCUCAACUUCAUCACACCUCUCCUCAGAAACUGCAUGAAUGAUGAGGAAGCACAUGAGGACCAUUUCCAUAUCCCAAAUUUUACUGGAGAGAAUUUCAAUAUUCUAUAGGAAUGUAAGUAACGAGGAAGUGAAGCAAAAGUAACUACACCAAAUUGGAAUAGACUCCUUCAUGGCUUAAAAUUAUUUCACGCUCAAAAUGUUCUGAAAACUCAAAUGUAUUGACAAAUAGCUGCUCCAAACAGUAACACCAAAUAACAUACAGGAUUUCAAAUUCGAAGUUGGAGGAAAAUGGACAUAGUAAGCCAUGGAAAUAUAGAGACUCAUAAUGUAGAAAUACCAUGUAAAGCCAAAUACAUGAGUAUGACAAAUGACAACAUGGAAAAUAAAAGUUGUAUAUAGCAUGAAACUUCAAUUUCCAUUUUAUACUUUUUGCUUAAUGUUUCAGCUUCCACCAUAGAUCAUGUAAUUGGAUAGUAAUUUACUUUCCAGUUUCCACAAAGAAUAUACAGAAAGUAUGAAUUAGUAAUGUAAUAAUACCUGCAGGCCGAUCUACUUUGUUUAAAAGUAGAAUUGGGCGAAGCCCAUACUUCAAUGCUUUAGCAAGAACAAACUUUGUCUGGGCAAGUGGGCCUUCACCAGCAUCUACAACUAAAAUUGCACCUUCAACCAUGCCAACAACUCGCUCAACCUACGAUUCUCAAAACAAAAUUGCACAAGGAUCAACACCCUGAACCCAAACUGAUUUGCAAAUAUCAAACUAAUUCCUAAGAGACAAGCAAAGCUGAGCUUCUGACUCACAGUAAAUUACUAAUGAAAAAUAACCACUUCUACCACUAGAACAACUAACACUUGGUCCAUAAUUUCUUUUUAACCUCAGUUAGACCGUGCCUUAGGACUUUUACUACACAAUUUCUACCAUAUGUCAAAUAUACAUGUUGAUAUGGACUUUUACUACAUAUAUCAUUAACAUCGGAGUAAUCAGUUCUUGAAGCCAACAUUACUAAACUAAGAUGACAGCAAUAAUUCGUAAUCAAAAAUAAAAACCAGCAAUAAUUCGCCAUCAAAACUAAAAGACAUCAUUAAUUCAUGUGACCCCUAAGGAAAAAGAAACUCCAAGUGAGAGCUUACUUCACCACCAAAAUCAGCAUGUCCAGGUGUAUCAACCAUGUUUAGCUCAUUUUCUUUCCAUGAAAUUGAAGUAACCUGCAUACAACAAUUCUUUCAUUACAUAAACUCCGAAAAGUUCUCUUUUUUCAAAAAUUCUUGCUUUUAACAUUUUUUUUUCCUUCAAAAAUUCUAGCUUUUUCGAAAAGUACUAUGACAAAAAGAAGAAAUCAAGAGACCUUAGAGGCUAUGGUGAUGCCACGCUCGCGUUCAAGGCUAAUGGAGUCCAUGGCACGUUCGUGAGGAAUAUCGGCGCCGCACUGCCUAAGCAAUCGAUCCAUCAGUGUCGUCUUUCCAUGAUCGACAUGUGCAAUCACAGCAACAUUACGUAACCGGCUAGGGUCCAAGGCGGAAUUCGGUGCUGUUGCAGCCGAGGUGGUUGCAGUGGAGGAGGCGGCGGAGAAGGCUCGUGUGACGCCAGUGGUGGCGCGUGGGAUAAAUGGUGUAACGCUUGAUGAAAGGUAGUGCUUGUAUAGUAAGGAAGAGGAAGAAUAAGAAGAAGAAGAUAUAGACUUCCUGGUGGAGGACCAGAGAGUUCGAAGCAGAGGACCCGCCAUUUUUUUAAGGUAAAAAUAGCAACGAGGUUUAUGGUUUUAAGUUCGACUUCUAUUGGUAGGGUUUUAGACAAGGAGAAAGAUACCCACGUGGCUUUUUCUGCUUUGGUAAGUUAAAUAAAUAAAUAUUGUAAUAAAAUCGAAUUGGCGCUACGUUCGACGACGACAAACAGUAAAUCGGAAAAUUUUGAGAACAAAAUACCGAUAAGCAGAACCUGCCGUCAUUCGUCGAUGAGGAGCCUAAAUAACGGCCGCAAAAUCGCAACUACCACAAAUAGGCUGAGAACUUAUUGUGAAGAAGAAAGGUGUAAAGUUAUGUUCUGAAAUUUCUAGCGUUUAAUGUUUGAGGGAGGGGAUUGUAAACCAUUAAUCUAUUCGUCCUUUUAUUAAGGUUAAUUAAAUAAUUAAUAAUUAUUAAAAUAAUUAAUUUUACUAAAAAAACCUUUAAAUUAAAUAGUUAACAUCUAUUAAAAUAACUGAUAGCGAUUAAAACAGUUAAUUUUAAUAAAAAAAAAACCCUAAUAAAUUUUAGAGACACCAAAAUAUAUUUUAUUUAUAAAUAUCUAAUAUCUUAGCUAUUAUAACAGCUAUCACCUGCGAAAACAAUUAAUUUUUUCAGAAAAAAAGAACUUUAAAUGAAUUUAGAGACACCAAAAUAUAAUUUAUUUGUGGUUAUCUAGUACAUAUGAUCGGGUAUGCAAUCUAAUAUUUUUAGAGUUUGCAAUGUACUUCCUAGAGAAUUAUUUUUGCUGUUAGAACUUGAUCUCGUGAUCAUCAAUACGCUGUUUUUCGAUAUGGAGUCUACGACGAUUCAACCACUGCACCAAGCUAUUUUUGUAAAUAAAUUCCCUAAUUACUAGUUGGUUUAUAAGAAAUGGCCUUACAAAUUAUAUUAAUCUCGUUAAGUUCUUAUAAAAUCUCCAUUAUUUUAUAAGAUAUAUAUUAUUUUAUCUUUUGAGAAAUUUUAAUAACCUUACAUUUUUGGGCCUUAUUAUGCAUUACCUAGUCCAAGAAAUUACUUGGUUUAAAAAUUCAGAUUUUGAUGUACGGACACCAAGAGAAGUUUAUAAUAUAUCUCAGACAUGGUAUUUGAUUACAAGAUCACAUGUGACCCAAUUAUAACAUAUUACAUUACAAGAAAGCAAAAAUGUUUAGCAAGAGAUGCAAUGAAGAAGAAAACAACAAAGGGCAGAGCAAAGAGACAUGAGACAUGCAAAUGGAUGAAAAUUUGAUUUACAAAAACAAACAAGGCCUUGGCUUCCUUUUUCUCUUCUUGGGUUUAGGAGGCUGCAAGACAACUUUGAUUGCUGCGUCAAAAACUGCCUUCACAUUCUGGCAAAUAACACAUAUAGAUAAAGGUUUGAGUUACCAAAUGAUUGGCAAUAUAUUUUGCAUAUAAAAGCCAAACAAAAUCAUCAAAACUAUUGUUAUUAGUGUGGAAAUGUGUACAAUAUUACUAAAAUUUGCAAUUUCAAGUGCACGAUAAGUUAUUCAUAAAACUUGGCAUGCUACAAGAUUUAAGUUGUAAAAUUCAUAGGUGAAUUUAUGUAUUUGGCCUAUAUUCAGAGGUAUGCAAGAUUGUUGUUGCCAUCCUAACCUGUUGAGUCUUUGAGCUGCACUCAAUGUAAACAGCAGCACCAAUCAUCUUCUUUAGUUCCUCUCCCUGCACUUACAAUUAAAACUUGUUACUUCUUUUAGUUCAUAGAAUUGGCAAAUCCACUUUGUUCAAAUAGCACAUAGCCAAUGGGAAUGAACAUUUUGCCUGAGAAGUUGUGAUUGGUGUUGCACCAGGAUGAUCAAUCAAAUACUGCUUGUCGUCUCGCAAAUCUGCAGUUAUAAAAUCCAGUCAAAAUCUAUUUCGUAUUGAAAUUGAAAAGUGGAAUUGUUUUUUCAGGAAAAUACCAAUGCAAAUGCUGUUGGAAACAACAAUUCCAACAUAUGGACAUUGAAACGAAGGAGAUCUUCAAUUACCUAGUUUAGUACCCACUAGAACAACUGGUACAGUUGGGGCAUAAUGCCUUAGCUCAGGAAUCCACUGGUGCCCAACAAAAAGAAACAAUCAAGAAAAAUGAAAAAAGGGGCAAAUUUCAAGACCCAAAAUUUACAAACAGCAAAUGAAAAUAGUAAACUAAACCUUCUUGGAAAUGUUCUCAUAGCUAGCUUUACUUAUUAGGGAGAAAGCCAAAAGGAACACAUCUGCACCCCUGUAACUCAGAGGCCUUAGUCUGUUAUAAUCUUCCUGUCCUGAAGACACAAGUUAACUAUACUCAUAUAAAUAGGCUAAUUUUCAAUUUUCUCCUGAAAAAUUAAGAGAAUUGUUUAGAAAUGAGUAAAAUUUCUCUGAUUGUAGAAAACCCAAGAACUGACCUGCAGUAUCCCAUAAUCCAAGAUUGACUGUGCUACCAUCAACCACCACAUUAGCACUGAAAUUAUCAAACACUGUAGGGACAUAAUCCUAGCAAAAUAAAGAAAGAGGCUUUACAAUUAAAAUCAUUAUUUUUGAUUGCUGAGAGAAAUCUUGAGGGGAAAAAAGACUGGAAAUAAAAGUACAUAUAAUUAAACAUACAGUAGGGAAGGUGUUGCUUGUGUAAGAGAUGAGCAUACAUGUCUUCCCAACAGCACCAUCACCUACAGUAACACAUUUGAUAAACCUGGCUGUGCUCAUUUUUUGGGGAUUUUCUCUUUGAUUUCUAUUUCUUACACCAUUCCUACUGGCUUCUUCUUCUUCUUCUUCUUCUUCUUCUUCUUCUUCUCUCUCUCUAUCUCUCCGUUACUUUAAAAUUCUCAAAAAUAUUGAUCAACAAGGACUUCACACUUAUAGAGGGUCAAAUUUGAAGUGGUUUUGGUUUAAAAUUUGAAUAGGAAAGGAGGGAUGACAGAGUUGCAUUUAAUAAGGUAAGGAAACCCUAGCCCCCAACUUUAGCUGGAGCUCUUUACCUUUACCAUGAUUGCCAAAUAGCUUUCCUGUUUCUUUAAGGGGAAGGACAGUCGCUAAAGACACUAACAAAAGAAUUGUUUGGUGAUAGUGUGUUAGUUGGUUAAGUAUUGGAAAAGGGAGGGAUUGAAUCAUUAGUGCUAAGAAAGAAAAUUACACAUUGCUUAAUUAGCCAAAUAAUCAUUUUCCAAGUAUAGAGUAGGAAACACAGGUGAAAGAAAGCAAGUUACCAGUAAAGGCAUGAUAUUUCCAUGCUUUCCUGUACAAAUUUUGACACAAAUCCAUUAUUAAUUUUCUAUAUUUUUAUUAAUUUGAUUCUAAUAAGAACUUCUAACUUGUAAUCUCAUAGUUUCCAACCUGAUUCAAUUUAUGUUAAAGAUAUUAUUUUGCUUUUUCUAUCCAAUGAUUGCAAAUGCAUUUUUAGGUGUAAGUAUCUGAAUUCAAUUGCAUGGAGAAAUUAACACUCAGUUGGGUCAGGUUAACAAAACUUGAAGGAGCUAACUUUAUGUGGGUGUCACCAUGAUUAAGGGAAGAAUUUAUAAAUGGGAUGUUCAAUUCAAUACCAUUUUAACUAAAGCUCGCUUUUGAUGAACUCUUGAUAUUCCUGUUCCAAUCAUUUAAUCAAGUUUGGUCAUUGAGUGUUGAAUAAUUUAAAAUUAAAUUAUUAUCCAAUGGUUAAGAUUGCAUGUGAAAUGUGAUACAGUAAUAUUCAUUUUCUAUAAGAACGUGAGGAGCGAAAUGUUUCAGAUUCGAAUUCUAUCGAUCACAAUCAUUAAUACCCACGUUACGAUUUGAAUUAGAUUCGAAUCCAGUGGCUACUUAAUUUAUAUUGCUUUUAUUAGUUAAAAGAUGACAACUCCAUGUGAGCAAGUGUCUUUUUAUGACUAUGAUUUGAUCUCUAAUGUGGGGUAUGGAGUCACUGAAGGCAGUGAUAGCAUCCAUGUGAUGAAGAAGAUGAUAAUAUAUAUGGCUUUGGAAGUGACCUGUCUAUGCUGUGUGACAUUCACAACAAAAGAUAUCACAAACCCUUUAAAGGUUGUUCUGAAAUGUGACUUUCAGAGCAAAAAUGGAUUUCUCGUCUGAAUCUGAUCAUAUUGAAAGGGGACCUAAUCUGAUUUUUGCUUCAUGGACAAGUGAAAAUGGACCACAUAGUUUACUAAUAUUAUUGGCUCUGCCUUCAUUUAUGGGCCUGUUAUCAAAUUGGGGAUUAGGGUUUUAAGUAUAACCUAAUUAAGAAUCAUCUAAGCCCAACUUCUAGUCUUAUUAUUAUUAUUAUUAUUAUUGAGCUUGAGAAGCUCAUUUCUUAAAUUAAAAAGAUGCCUAAUAAGCAAUAAUAUCCCCAAAGUUGUGUAAUAUUGUAAUUGCAACAUAUUUUUUAAUUUUUUUUAAUAAAUACACUCUAAAAUAAUGCUUAAUAAGUAUUAUUUUAUUUUUUUAAGUUUAUAUUAUUUUUUGAAUGUAUUUUUGUUUAAACACAGAUUAAGGCUCACCUAAAAUUAUAUUAUUCUUGCAAAAUGUUUGGAAACAACAUUAUUUUAGUAAAUUGUAUUCGUACUCUUAAUUAUUUUAUUUAACUAAAAAUCAAAAAUUAUUUUUUAAAUCUGAAUCUCAUUAUAAAUUUAUUUCUCAAAGAAAAUAAAACCUACAUCAGUUGGUAUAAAAUCUAAUAAUCUUUAUUCAUUUAUCUAUUUAUUUUCUUUAUAGUAUCAAUCUCUAACACGGUUAUAGUAUUUACGUAUGUCUCUUAUUCUUCAUAUGGGCUACCUAAACCCUAAUAAACUCUUCGCAAUAUCCCUUUGUUUUUUAAUUUUUUAGGGUGGCUAUCUUUUCAUGUCCCUCUAGACAAAUACUUUGUUCUUCAUCUUCUUGUUCUUUUUUUUUUUCCUGUAUUAUUUAUACAAACAUCUCCUUUUCAUUCCAUUCAAAAAUAAAAACAAAGCUCAUGCAAGGUUUGUAUAUUAUAUUUUUUCUUCUUCCUGUCUAAAAAUUAUUGGAUUCGUUAAUUUAUGAACAUAGCUUUGAAAAACCAGGUAAUAAUUGGUGCUAAUUAUUUUACUUAUUUCUUUUUAUUUUGUUUGAUUUAGAGAAUGCAAAAGCGCAAUAACAGCAAUAAUAAUGGUGGAACGGCGGGGGCGCAUCCAGCUUGUGCUUCAUGCAAGCAUCAAAGGAAGAAAUGCGGAGAAGAUUGCAUAUUAGCACCAUAUUUUCCGGCGGAUAGAAGCCGGGAGUUUCAAGCUGUUCAUAAAGUUUUUGGAGUAAGCAAUGUGAUGAAAUUAGUAAGGAGCGUUAGGGAAGAAGAUAGAAAAACUGUGGCGGAUUCUUUGGUUUGGGAAGCUUUUUGCAGGCAGAAUGAUCCAAUUUUGGGUCCUUUAGGAGAGUAUAGAAAAAUUCAAGAAGAGCUUAAGCUUUACAAGAAUCAAACUCAAAUGGUGAACCAAAAUCAACUGGUUCAGCAGCAACAAGGGAUGAUUAGUAGUGCUUGGAAUGGCACUAACAAGGGAGGAGGAGGAGGAGGAGGAUUAGCUAAUAAUAAUAACAGUAUAGUAAUUAAUCAUAGUCAUAACAAUGGAAAUGGAAAUAUAAUUGUUGAUCAAAUCCCAUAUGAUAGUUAUCCUUUAAAUUAUGUGCAAGGUACUGAGAAAGUUAGAAGGCAAGAAAAAUUGCAGCCCCAUUUGCAGCAGCAGCAGCAUUCGAUUACUACUGCUGGAUUUAAUCAGCAACCGUAUUACCUCCCAGGUAACUAAUUAAACUGUUUAAUUAUUAAGUAAAUUAAACAUGAAAUGCACUUAAAUUAAUUCUCAUUUAAGUUAUAUGUUUAAAUUUUUGGCAGGGCAUUUUGGUUCUAUCAAUGGCAAGACAAUGGAUGGGACAUUGUGGGAAGGUGGAAUAUAACUAAGUUAAUGAUGGAAUUGAUCAUAAGUACAAUAUAUAUACAUGCAGAAAAUUUAGCAGCAGUUAACAGACAGACAUGGAAGAGAAAUCAAAAUCCGUUAUAUGAUUCAAUUUAUAUUAUUGUAUUGCAAUUCUUGUUAAUUUCAGGCAAUCAGUUGUUGCUUAAUUUGAUGUUUAGGAAUUUAGACAUCAUAUUACAUAUGAAAUUCAUAUUAUUAUAGAGAAAUAUUAAUUGUUAAUAUUAAUCAAUAUUAUAUUUUUUAUAGCUUCAAAUAGAAAGAAAAAUAGAAACAAGAGUUUUGAAUAUGUAUAUACGAAGGUGUAGCAACUGAUAUAUUAUUAAUGCUGUUUUUUCUGUAUAUACAAGUAAUGAAAGGCAGCCACUUAUAUAGUGGUUAAGUCCACGACUAAGUACAAAGAAUCCCUUAAUAAUCUAUGAAAUAUUAACUAAUUAUUGAAAGCAGAUCCUAGCUACCAACUCAGUCAAGAUACAAUCUGCACAUGGUAAUCCAACAACCAAAUAUAUCUAACAGAAUAUGGAAAAUAUUUAGCCAUCCUUAUUCCUCCUUAUUUUCCACAACAGGUGCUUGCAAGGAAGUGUGAUCACUUAUAACCACCUUAUCACUCCUGUGAUCAUCAACACAAAUAUCUUAACCAUCCAUAUAUUAUUUUUUAAAAGAUUUUUGUCCUGAAAAAUAUAUUUUCUGAAAUCAAAUUUAUAUUUUCAUAAUCGGAUGGAGAUUAACACGACUUACCUUCAUAUCUAUUUAUAUAAAAAUAAGAUGGCCUUUAAUAAUAUCAUUCUAAUGAAAUAAUUUUUAUAAAUGAAUCGGGAAAAACUUGCAAAGAAAAAUUUUUAGUAUUUAUUAAUUUCAGUAUUCAACUUAAAACUUUGACUUUGGGUCAAGUCCAAAGUCCAGCAACACUUGAAACAUAGCCCAAAAUGGAUUCUAAGCUCUAACUUCUAACCAUGGCUUGAUUAGCAAAUUCCCAAGGAUAAUGGAGAUGACCCAUUGCAGACUUUGCAGUUUCAACAACUUAUUUACCUUCUUCAUCGCCUUCUAUUUCCUUGUACCCUCAGCACACUCAAAAGCACCUCUCAUCGGUGUCCACCCUUUAGGUGUUCGCUUCUCUCUCUCUUUUUGACCCAGAUCGUCAAUUUUCAUUUUGUUGUUGAUUUCAUUUCAAUUAUUGUGUUAUUUUAUACUGAAUUUGAUUUCUGCACCUUUGCAGAUGAGAAGUACUUUUCUUCGCGGCUUAUCAAAUGCAAGGACGGCUCGAAAUCCUUUCCCAGAGACAGUCUCAAUGAUAAUUUCUGCGACUGUGUUGACGGAACAGACGAGCCCGGUAUCGGAAAUUCUAAAUUUUGUUGCUUCUGCAGUACUAUUGCUUCAAAUUCUCAAUCUUUUGUGUUUACGUUUUACUGGGUACUUAAAUUUUAGUUACUUUAUGUCGUAUUUGAUGUGUGAAGCUUACUAACUGUGGAUUGAUUUUAUUACUAUCAUGUAUAAUAUCGAAACCGUUUCUUUAUACAUUCUGGGAAUGCAUGUUAAAAUUCUGGAUUGGACCAUCUGUGUAUUUAGUCUUCAGAAAUAUUUUGCGGGAAAAUGGCAAUUGAGUGCUUCACUGUUUGAUGUUUGAUAAAAAUUUAAGAUGUGAAAGUUUUAUUGCUUUUAUGAGAACAUGCCUGAGAAAACUUUGUUUGCUGUAAUGGGCUAGUUUAAUUGAAAAAGAAUUGUUAUAUUUCAAGUGGAAUACCUAAUCUUUGAGAUCAAAGUGGCAUCAAGUCAUUCUUUUCUAAACCUGUGUAGAACUACUUUGCUAGUGGAUUUAUUGUUUGGUGGAUUUCCAACGUCCAAGAUACUGAAUUCCUGUUAUCAGAAAUUGUGAUGCUAUUUCUUUUUCCAUUUUUUUUUUCCCUUUUAAACUGGAACACUUUUACUUCCCCUUUCUCUUUGGGUUUAGGAAUUGUGAUGCUACUUUGCUUGUAAAUUUUAUAAUUCUGCCUGAGAAUGUUUGCUUUUUUCUUUUUUUCUUUUUUCAUCUCAACUUUAUGUAUGAUGAUAGAGAUUUUGCCAGUGAAUUGAGUGGUAUUUUCUUGUGGUUUGUGCCAUACACAUAAGCUGAUAAUUUUACUAAAUUAUUUUUCUUCUAUGCUAUUUAUUUCUUAGUGGAUCAUAUUUAGUUGCGAUUUUGAUUUAUCCUGCAGGAACUUCAGCCUGUCCCAGAGGCAAAUUUUAUUGCCAGAAUUUAGGAAGUAAACCCCAGUUUAUAUUUUCAUCCCAUGUAAAUGAUCGAAUUUGUGGUGAGUACAAUAAGUAAAAUUGGUUCACUUCCUUCUCUUUAAUGCUUCAAGUCUUCUUUGCCAUUCAUUCUUAUGGCAGAUAGCUGGUUCAGGUGCAGUAACCUAGGGUUUAUGUGCUUUAGCCUCUUACUGAUUUAUCACUUGUAUCAUCCAAGGGAACAAAAAACUUCAAUUUUGGUAAUAUUUUUCUUCCUUGUUGAUAUCAUCAGGCUUCAGCUCGAUACAAUGUUCCCCUGUAUGCUUGGUUUUCGAAGUCAUAUCUGUGGAUACUGAUUAAGUGAUUAGUGUUUUCAUGUUUGCUUCACACAUUUUAUCUAUACCAUUCAAUCCCAUUUUGUGCACUACAUGAAGUUUUCCUCCUUUGUAUUAAUGCAAAUUGGGUUUGUCCUUUUGUUGGACAAUUGGUUCUUUAUGUCAAUUUAUUAACUUUGUAGAUUGCUGUGACGGAAGUGAUGAAUAUGACAGUGGCAUCAAUUGCCCAAACACAUGUAUCAUGGGUGGAAAUUUGGAGUACAAGGCAAGACGUUUUAUCUCAGCUACUGAUGCCAAGGAAUCGGAAGAUGGACUUCUUCUGGAGGACUUAUUGCAUAAGGCUAAAGGUAUUCUUCAGGCAACAUUAUUAUUUUUUAAUCUAACUUACAGUUACUGGUAGCAUAAACAGGGUAAUGCUUACUGAUUCCAGGGUUGAAGAUGGUGAUAAUUCUUCAAGGCGUUCUCCUUGGUUGCGUGGUGAUAUUUCAAUUAUUUCGUCGUCGUCGAAAAUUAAAAAGAAUGCAUUAUCAUUAAAGAAUUUUAAUAUUUUUGGUAAAAGCCUCUCACUUCUUCCUGAUAGCUCAAAAUUCCACAACCCAUAUUAUGGUUUGCGCUCUCAUUAUGGUUUUAUAUCAGUAGCUGCAGGUUCCUGCUCAUACAUUCUGGUGUUUUGGCCUGAAACAGCCUUUGUCUUGGAGGCAUUCCCUUCUUGAUACAAAACUUUAUUAACCAAAAUCGAUGAGAACUGGACAAUAUGGGAUACUUAAUUAACCGUGAUUAUACAAAUGCACAAAGUGAAACUUUCAAGACUUCCUGUGGUCCAUCUGAUCCGAUGCAUGUCAUAUGCUUCAACAUUGGGCAAUACAGCUGCAUUAUAGGUUUAACUGUUAUUGAUGACAUAUUAGAUUUGGAAAGAACUGCUUCAAGGUGUAUUGGACUCCAUGAAAGAAAGAUUUUUCUUGGUAUAAUUUGUUGUGGCACCUUUGAUGUUUUCCCUUGAAUGCUUGUUUUGGUAAAGCAAUAGAUCUUAUUUUGCCUCAUCAAGUCUUAAAAUUUUAUUCUAGUAAAAUUAAAGUGUGUAUGAUUCUCAGUCUGUGCAGAUAAAAAUCACUAAUGGAAGAUUUUCCAAGCAAUAUUUUUCUUUCAUAAAGAGGGGAAAAAAAGGCACUUAAAAUGAAUAGUAUUGCAUUUUUAUUUUAUCCUGGAAUGAUCUGAAGAGUCUUUCCUGUGUUCCUCUAUGGGAAGGGGAGAGUUGUUUUUCAGUUGAAAAUGUUUCUCUUGUCGUGCGCAUGUAAUUCUAAUGAAACGACGACUCCUUCUUUGGCAGAUACGAGUAAGACUGCUACACGUCGUUUUUAUGGAAUAAAGUUAAAUCUCUUCAUCUUUUGUCUCGUUUACUUUAUUGUUGGAAAUACCGUUAAUGAAGAACCCUAGCCAUGGAUACUUAGAAAUCUCCUUUCCUCAAAAAUGAUAAUCGGAAUAACAAGAAAAUGGUUUCCUUUUCGCAAUUCUCUUCACCAAUUUCCAUUAGUUCGCUCAAUUUCUUCGGUUUAACCAACAAUCCAAUCAGCAAUUGAAGCCAAAGCCUACCAGAAAAUCCCUGACCUUCUAAUUUCCUUAAAAGAGCAACCUUUCCAAAAUCCUAAUCCUUUCUCCUUCCUUUCUAACUUCCCUCUUAAGACUGCUACACGUCGUUUUUAUGGAAUAAAGUUAAAUCUCUCCAUCUUUUGUCUCGUUACUUUAUUGUUGGAAAUACCGUUAAUGAAGAACCCUAGCCAUUGAUAUUUAGAAAUCUCCUUUCCUCAAAAAUGAUAAUCGGAAUAACAAGAAAAUGGUUUCCUUUUCGCAAUUUUCUUCUCCACUUUCCAUUAGUUCGCUCAAUUUCUUCGGUUUAACCAACAAUCCAAUCAGCAAUUGAAGCCAAAGCCUACCAGAAAAUUCCUGACCUUCUAAUUUCUUUAAAAGAGCAAUCUUUCCAAAAUCCUAAUCCUUUCUCCUUCCUUUCUAACUUCCCUCUUAAUCAAAGAACCCAAAUCGUGGAUGAAAUUUUACAAUCUUUUAUCCCUUUAAGACCACGAUCUUACCCGAAACUUGCAUAUUCUUUUCUCCUUUCUUAUACUCUUCAAAACCCCAAUCCUCUUCCUCUUGCUUUAGCCAUUCUACAAAGUACUCUUCGUUCUGGCCUUUCACCUGAACCCGGAAUUCGUCUUCUUCUCUCUUCUGCUUGGCUUGAUAAAAGAAAGCAAUCUCAAUCUGUAACUACCAUUCUAACGGAAAUGAAGUUUAUUGGGUAUUAUCCUGAUUGUGGUACUUGUAAUUAUAUUAUAUAUUGUCUUUGUGCUGUUGAUCAGUUGCUUGAGGCAGUUAAAGUCUUGAAGGGUAUGGGUAGGGUGGGUUGUGUUCCUGAUUUGGAAAGUUACGGCAUUGUUAUUGGUUCAAUGUGUGUAGCUAGAAAAACUGCUGAUGCAGUAGAGAUGAUAAAGGAAAUGGUGGUAAAACUUAGACUGAAUCCAAGGCAAGGAACAGUAGUGAAACUAUUAGCAAUGUUGAGGGCAAAUAGAGAAAUAUGGAGAGCAGUUGAGAUAAUUGAGUUUUUGGAGAGGGAGGGCUGUCCUGUUGGAUUUGAGAGUUACGAAUUGGUGGUUGAAGGAUGCUUGGACUGUAAAGAGUAUAUUUUGGCUGGAAAGGUAGCUAUAGGAAUGACAGAGAAAGGGUUUAUACCUUAUAUCAAGGUUAGACAAAAGGUGGUUGAAGGACUUGCUGGUGCUGGUGAAUGGAAGCUUGCUUGUGCUGUGAGGCAAAGAUUCACAGAGUUGAGCUCAUAGUUUCUUCCAUUUUUAUGGGAAUGAAUUCACACAUAUGUAAUGGUUGAUAUGGGUUGUUGAUUUUUCAUUUGUUAGCUGCAUGACAUUCUAAUCCUCUUAUGAUGACUAAUCUAUGGUGGUUAUUAUAUCAGGCAGUCACUAAGUGAGUGUUGGAGUUGAAAUCCACAGGUAUGUAUUGUUAGAAAGGCAGAGACUUGUUUUUUAUGAAGUUCUUACUAAGCAUUAUUUGUAACAUUAUCUUAUAUUGGUUAGAACCUAGCACAGUGCAAUUUGAGUUGUAUUGUUACUUAUAUUAAGAUGUCUUCUUUAGAAUCGAAAGUAGUGUGUGUUAGUUUACAAUUCUGAUUUCUGCUAACUGAUUAAUGUUGUACUUACACAAUUUGGUUCAAUUAUAUAAACAAAGUAAGCAAAGCCUUACCUCAAUCAGUCAAUUGAUGCUAAUACCAUGCAAAUUUUUUUGUUGCAAUGAUGGCUCUUGAGGCUCAUCCAUAUUCUGAUACAUUCAAACCUUAAAUAUACCUACAGACUUUAAGUCUCAUUUUCACUCCAGAACAAAGUAAAAUAUUAACACCUUUUAGUUGCUCGAAAGACUUGUGAUUGGUAUGCGGGUUCUUUUUCGGGCUUUGCCAAAUGACAAAUGAGAUAGAUGAAAGUUAUGUUAAGCAUUUUAUAUCAAGAAUUGGGGAUCUCCAAUCAAUGAUGUAAUAUCCAUUUUGAUACGAAGGAAUUACCCAUCUUCUUAUGCUUAUGGCAUGCAUUUUCCCUACCAUACUUCCUGCAAAGCUUAACUAUUGUUAAAUUAAUUUCCAUGAGCAAUAUCUUUUACUUGGAUUUGUAUGUAAUUACUAAUAUGGAAGACAUCUUGUUAAGAGAUUGUCAAGUCACCCUAAAGCCAGGAUCAGCCAAGCACAUAUAAAAUGAUUCUUAUUCCUGUUCCUUGACAGGGUAGCUAGGCUCCAUGGCAAUGCCACAGAUACCUUUCUUGCCCUUGGAACCACGCCUCAGUUUUAUAUAGCCAGAAUCACCCCACUCUGUACCCCAUGAAUUUUUAACGAGCCAGUACUUUUUACCAUCAGUUUCUCCGUAGCCGACUGCUGUGACUCCAUGGUUGAGUUGUGUUCCACAGAAGCCACUGAAGAUUCCUUUUGAGUAGAAUUGAAAUGAAAAACCACCGGCAUCAAUUGCAACAGAUACAGGUUGCUUGGCAACUGCAGUUUGUAGGCUUUUCUCAUCAUUGGCAGGUACUGCUUCAUAACCACUAAUAGUCACUGUCUGAUUUUUAUUUUUGUUUUUGUGGCAGUUGCCAUCUUUUCCUUCAUAGGGAUAAUCAUCUUCAAUGGAGAGCCCCUGCUUUUGAAUGUAUGUAAACGCUGUUUCCAUGAAUCCACCAUUACAUCCCUGGCUAUCAUUGUGAGUAUCACAGUCUACAAGCUCUUGUUCUGACAGAGAUACUAAUUUUCCUGUCUUGAUUUUGUUAAUGCCUUCAACAGCUGCCACUGCAGAGAAUGCCCAACAACUUCCUGUAUAGAACUGUCACUUUAGAUCUUGUCAUGCCAAAAAUUCUUAGAAUAAAACAAAAUGAUUAAUUGACAAUUGGCAUAAAACAAAAGCACUUCUAAAAAGUGCACUUGGACUCAAAUUUCUCAGGGAAGAAAAAAAUGAAAAAGAAAAGGGAAACAAAGCUUCAUACCACAUUGACCUUGAUCUUUAACCGGGGUUACAGCGCCUUCCUUUAUCCAAUCUACUGAGGUUGGCAAGUCUGAGGAGUUUCCAUGCUCAUGGCUAGGCUUCUUUCUACCGUGUUUAUUAGCCUGAAAACCCAGGUAGAUAGAUUUAAACUCAUCAUUAGUCAAGUCUGCAAACUUGUUAUCUCUGAGUUCGUAUGGUAAUUUCUGAGCAUUGAUGUAGUCAAUGAACUGAAUGUUUGAUUGAUAUAUUCCAAACCGCAGAUAAUAUUCGUCUUUGUUAUGAUAUUUUCGACCAUGAUGUUUCAGCCACCUGUCAUACCUCUUUCUCAUGGCUUUGGGGUUAUAUCUUGGCAGACUAUGGAUUUCUAAAUCUGCCAUUGUAUGUAUCAAUAGAAUGCAGAGAGAUAUAAGAAUCAAGCCAGCUUUCUUUAAAUUAAUAUGCGACUCCAUGGCUACUGACGAUGUCUAUGGAGAAUGGGAGCUUAUAAAUGACAAUUUUAGUACAUCCCAGGAAUGAUAUAUGGGUUGCUUACGGAAUGCAGUUAUUAUCAUUUACGUAGAUCAUACUUUUGCACAAGUUAUUUCAGUUGGACUUCUUGUUUCAUUCAUGUCUUCUUUGCUGUCCAUUUUUUCUGGGGGAAGUCUUUCAUGUUCAUUCUCAUGUGUGAAUUGUACACGCAGGAUUAUCUGCAUAAUGGGAAGCUUAGGACGGCUAACCAAGAAUCUAGGAAAAUCAGGGCUGGGUAACUCUCUUGAUGCGGCUAAUGCUUUGGUCAAGGAUCGACGCUGAGCUGAGCCUACACAUUGCUGCUCUCACUAUAUGCAUCUGAUAUCGUUGAUGUGUUUUGUUUUAGCUUUUAGUACCGAUAUUCAUGCAAAAGGUGUGAACUUACAAAACCAAACCCAGAUGCCAAUAUUUAGUUUAACAGAUUAUGUAAACUAUCAUAUGGAUUGAUUUUGCAUGGAGUCUAUUAAUAUACCAAAUUCUAUUUUUCUUUAACUGUCUUAAAUGGUAAAACAGCAGCAAUCUUAUGAUUUUGGUUUUAGUGCUAUUUAGCAUGUGAAGGUGAUUCAAAUUAUUAGCUACAAGUUGCUCUGGCCCCUUCUUUUCUUUUUUGAUAUAAACUCUUUGUGGUUUCUACUAUUUUGUGAGAAAGGUUGAACUAUACUUUAAUCAUUAACAAUAAUUUCUCUGAAGUACAUGUUUAGCAAAUUGAAACCUGUCCUUGUCUAUCAUAGAUUCAUAGUAACUAGGCUUUUAUAGUUAGGUUCCCUUUUAUAUCAAUUAUCAUCUUUUAAAAAAAAAAAAAAAAAGAAAAAUUUUCUAUGCAUAGCACGUGAUGUGCUCCAAUAUCGAGGGAAUGAUCUGAAUGAAUAAUGAUAUUGGAUUGGUUUUUAUAGGGACAGUGGAAUUACCUAUGAGAUAGGAAGUCUGUGUGUCUUAUUUUAUUUUUAUUAUUAUUAUUUUUUUAAGUUUCAUCUUUAUUAUUAUGGGAUUUUUUUCUAGGAAAAAUUUACGUAAAAGAAUAUAUUACAAACCUGUUCUGAAACAGUGUUGCUAUUUGGAUUAGACAUCAUACGAAAAGAGACUUUUUAUUUUUUUUGUUCUUUUUGGCAUGUUAUUAGUUCUAGUUCUACUUAUGAGUGUUUAAAUUAUGCUAAUUUGAUUUCGAUUUUUGGGUACCUAAUGUUGCUGAAUUUAGAAAAUGCUGAGUAGAUGAGCAUAAUAUUAGAGGCAUCUGCCAGGAAUUUAAGGUGGUGAUGGAGCCACAACGUGCAUGGUGUGUUGUGUUCAAUGUCUAGUAAUGGCCAUGGCCCCCAUCUAAGUUAAAGAAGGCACCGAUUUGACUAUUAGUUCAGUCUCCACUAUCUAACCUUAUUAAAUAUUUUUUUUUUUUUUUUAAGGAAAAAUGCAUUUUGCAUUAAUUGGAAUUAUAAAACAUAGACAAACACUGUGGUACAGACUCUCACACUUAGAAACGAGUAUGAUCGUAAGAUGCUCUUAUAAGAGAACGAGCGCCUAAAUUCACUUGUCUCCUCACCCACUGUAUUUUUUUUCUAAAGAAAGGUUGAAGGACCUGAAGGAAAUGCUUGCUUCUUAUUUCUCAGCUUCUUCUUCUUCCCUCCCCUUGUUUUAUUUUAUUUUAUUUUAUUUAUGUCAUCAAGAUUUCAUUUUGCUUAAUUUGGGUGCUUUUUUCCCUAAAUUCUCUAAGUAUUUUUUACCUAAUUAAGACUUACUGACGGAUUGCUAAUUUUGAUGCCAACUGUUUUAACAGAAUAUGUAUUUCAUACUCUAAAUGACUAUAAUAGAGACAUUUUACCAUUUAUUUAAAAUUGGAAUUUGUAAUUCUUUAUUAUUUCAAUUUUUACUUAAAAUAAUUAGAAUUACUUGCAUGAACAAAAUUUAAAACUUACCAUAGAACUGUUUCUCUCUCCUUCUCUCUUAAAUAUGUAUAUUAUAUAUAUAUAUAUAUAUAUAUAUAUAUAUAAUAUACAUAUUUACAUUUAUUUCAUACACAUGGCAAGUCUCCAUCAUCACUAGUAAAAUCCACCAUUUUAUUCCCACAUCUUGAGGAAUAUUUAUUAUCUCUUAAAGAAAAAAAAAUGAAAAAUGAAAAUGUAUUAUUGACAGAAACAGAAAUUAAUAUGUAACUAUUCACAUGCACUAUUCAUCAUAAAAUGGUUGCAUGAACAUGAUUAGUUAUUAUAAUAAUAUUAUAAUUAAAUAAUUGCCAGGAAGGAACUCAUGACUUGAGAUAUAUAUAUAUAUAUAAAAGGAGGCAAAACAUGUUACAUUGUAUUAAUAAUAAUAUUAUGGCGUAAUAAUUAUAAAGUAAUGUAAACAUCUCUUUCUUUACAAACUAAUGAUGAUUAAUCGUGCUUCCAAUGCACUUUGGAUUAAUUAAAACAACAUAAAUUCUAGUCUGAUAGUGAUUGGGAGGUGCCAAGAAGCUGUGUGGAACCUAUAGAAAAUAAUAAGGACACACUACCCUACAUGUGGGUAUAGUUUGGGGACAAAGCAAAGAAAGCUUGCAAAUUAUUCACAUGGCCUGACAUGAUCUCCCCUUCCCCAACUCCCCCCCACUCCCUUUCUCUCCUCCUUCCUUCUUUUUUUUUAACAGCUCACCCCUAAGUAUCCCACUACUGCUAUCCUCUCAUCCCUAAUCUUAGAAUAUGUUGGGUAAAAUUAGUUGUUUUGAUAGUUAUUAGCUGUUUGAGCAGUGUUUAGUUAUUAGUUAUUCGAUUAGUUUUUCAAGAAACGCUAAAAGUUAAAUGUUACGAUAGUUAACUUUUUAUAAAAUACUACUUAUUGAACACUGUAAAUAAUAAUAUUUACUUAAAAAGUUAUCGUUGAACACAAUUUUAUACUACUAAUUUACAUUUAAUAAUAAUAAUAAAAUGAUUAAUUUAGAUUUUUUUAGGUUUUAGGUUUACGUUCAGACCAAAAAUGGUUUUAGGUAAUAAAACUUUGGAGUUAUUGAUCCAACUAUAUGUUUAAUCUUCAUAACUGUUAAUUUAAUUGUUUCAACAAUAUUUCAAACUAUUUUUCGAGCGUAAAACAAUAUGAAAACAAACCCUAAAUCUUGUCUACCAAUAUUUAUGGAGAAGGAAGUGUAGCAAUAGCCUAGAUGGUGAUCGAACGGUGUGGAACAAAUUGACUUAAAGGGUGGAUGGGUUUUACUAGAGUGGACUGAAAGAUCAACGGACAGGAAAUAAGGGUAUAGGAAAAGGGCAAGGGUAGGUAGAUACAUGGGAAUGUUCCUUUGAGAAGAUAUUAUUGUUAUUAUUUAAAAUAAUGAGACUAUUAUUAUAACAUAGCCACUAAAGGGGCGGUCACAAGGGCACGUGGUCACUGAUUCCGCUAGUUAUUAAAACUACUGGCGACUUUCCAGUAAUACCGUUGAGACCCAACCUCCUAACAGCUGUACAUAGCUGUCCAAUCGCUCCCCAUGUGACCCCACUGCCAUUUUCUGAGAAAGAAGAUUAGGAUUCAAGAUUUAAUAUGGGAGAUGAUAAUAUAUUCAAUGACAUGACAAAAUAAGCUCUCUUAAUGAUGAUGAUUUUGUUCUCCUCCUCUUCUUCUUCUUCUUUGUGUCUUUCUUGAUUCUUUGCCUUUCACAUUCCUUUUCUAGUGUUCUUUAACAAAUACAUAACAAGAAGUUAUAUAAAGAAAGUUCUGAUCUCUUUAAUUAUCUUCUUGUGGAAAGUCUUUCUUGAUUAAUUCUUUGGGUCUUUGCUAUUCACAUUACAUUUCUUUCGUCUUUUCUUGAUUAAUUAGUUACACAAGAAGAACAAAUUAAGCUUCUUCUUGUUUCUUUCUUUGAUUCUUUGCCAUUGGCAUUCUUGUUCUUGUGUUCUUCUUGGAUUUGUAUAUACAAAAUCAAGAAUUUUCUUCCUUGAUUUGUAUAUACAACAAAGUUGUUUUUCAAUUCUUGGGUUUCUUUCUUUCUUUGUAUUUCAUUCGGUUUGGCGUUUCUUGAAUUAAUAUUGGAAUUUGGUUUCUUUAAUUCUUUACUUUCUUGAUUUUUUUUUUUUUUGUUGUGUCAUUUAGAGGGUAUUUAUAUAUUAUUAUAUAUACACUGCUAAAUGGCACAAUUACCUCCAAAAAUCCCUAACAUGCAACCAACUGCUUGGCCUGACUUCUCCCACCAAAAGUUACCUUCAACAGUCAGCGCCAUUAUGCCACCUUCUAACAACAAUGCUGCCACCGCCGCCGCCGCCACCCAAAACCCUUCGUGGGUAGACGAAUUCCUAGACUUCUCGUCGGCAAGACGUGGGACCCAUAGGAGGUCAGUGAGUGACUCCAUUGCCUUCCUAGAGGCGCCAUUGCUGGAAGAAUGUCGUGGCACCGGAGGUCCGCCACAUCAUGGGUCCGAACAUAACAGCAGUACUGAUUUUGAUAAAUUUGACGACGAGCAAUUCCUGUCUAUGUUCACCGAUGAUAUCACCAAGGCUGUGGCAGCCCCGUCGUGCUCCAACCCUUCGACACCGUCUGAUCAUAAUAGCAUUAAUGAUGAGAAAGAAACAACGCCGUCUGAUCAGAAACUUCAGAAGAUAAGAAAUGAAACCGAUGAGGUUCAAAGUCAAUGCCAAACGGAGACACAAACUCCACCAAAUGCGACCAAUACCAAUUCUUCUGACAGGAUAGUUGAUCCCAAAAGGGUAAAAAGGUAAUUAUAUGCAUACACAUUUUUGCACCAAAUCAUAUUCCAAUGCCCAACUCUUAAAACACCAAUCCCAACCCUAAUCUCGAUAUAAAUUAUAUCUGGAGCUUGAAUUUGAGAACUCCGGAUAAAUAACGAUUGUCAUUCCAUCUCACCCAUUGAUCGUUCUUAUAAUAACACGUCCUGUUUCAUAUAUUAGAGUUAAUUAAUUCAUAAUUUUGUUGAUUAGUUUGCUAAUUACACAUUUGGUUAUGAUUUUGUUUGCAUUAGAAUAUUGGCAAAUAGGCAAUCAGCACAAAGGUCACGGGUGAGGAAGCUGCAAUACAUAUCUGAGCUUGAACGAAGUGUAACUUCAUUGCAAGUAAGUAACUAAUUACAUUAAUUAAUUAUUAAUUAGACUAUAAUUAUCCUAUUAUUUCAUGGAUUAAUUAAACUUUCAAGUUAUUGAAAUUCAACUAAUUAUUUUUUCUUUUCACAUUUCUUUAAUGAAGGCUGAAGUUUCAGUUCUGUCACCAAGAGUUGCCUUUCUAGAUCAUCAACGUUUGCUUCUAAAUGUGGAUAAUAGUGCUCUUAAGCAAAGAAUUGCUGCCCUAGCCCAAGACAAAAUUUUCAAAGAUGGUAAGUGUUUAAUUAUAAUAAUAAUAAUAAUAAUAAUUUAAUUAUUAUUACUAUAUACUUAAUUAGAAGCAUGUGAUGUUAAUAAUUCAUAAUUAAUUAUUGCUUACUCCGAGAAAAUAGCUAAUAGAUUAAGAUCGUAGUGUACCAAUUGCAUUAAUAAUUUUAAUAUUUUUUAUGUUAUAGUACUUUGCACUUGAAGUAUGCAAAAUUAUGGUACAAGUAAUUCCUGAU
rnacentral:lncRNA from 1 species